rnacentral:lncRNA from 1 species
UUUUUUAAACCAACAUCUAAACGACGUCGUUUUGAUGCUACUGGCAUCAAAAUGACGCCGUUUUGGAGUCCUAUUUAAGCCAAGGAGAUUUCCACCGCUGCGCCGCUGCAAGGGAUCUGCUCCAGCUCCAGCCCUUCCUCCUUCGCCCGUCGUCGCCGUCCCAUCUACGACACCAAGGGAUCCCGCCGACGGCCUGCGACAGCAAGAGAGAUCCCGCCGGUAGCCACGACAGCAAGAGAGAUCCCACCGGCAGCCAAGGGUAGCUUCCCCCCUCUCCUCUGCCCGCCGACGACCUGUGACAUUCACACAGGUCUCGCCGGUGACCCACGACGCCCGCCUGCGUUGGAAAGCUCCCCCCCUCUUCCAGCUAGUAGCCCACCCCGGCGUUGGAGGUUGCCACUUUGCCCACAGUAUCUAUUAUGAAAUGUACAACAGAAACUUGUUGAAAGGUGUGGUGAUCAUCUCUACAACCUUCUCUGCCCCCACUCUCAUGUAUGUAUGGUGUUCUAUGGGAACAGUGUACCUAUUUUACAUGGAUGGAAAUUAAAUUUAGUGUUUAUUCUUAUGGUUGUUAAUCCAUAUUCUAGGAGGUUUCUCUGAUCACACUUUUUCCCUCUUUUAAAAUUUCUAUUGCUGCAGCCUGGAAACUUUUGUGAAGAGAAAAGUUGGUUUGAGGAGCAGCUGGAGAUGAGCUAGCCGCACUGCUGUUCUUGUGAUUGGUGGUGCCUCCAACAAUUUACGAAAGGGAGGAAUGUACUGAGCAAUUCCAAGUAUUUGAUGCAAGAACUGUGGAUAAGUGUUCUUUAAGAUGCUACUGAAACAUGUGGAUAUACGCCUUCUUAAUCAUCAAGUAGAAAAGGCGAAUAUUUAAGGGUCUUUUUUUACUUUUGAGGAACUAAUAUCUAAUUAGUUCUUGGGAAACAGGGAGGGGCUAUUCUCUUAUAUUCUAUUUCAUCUCUAUUGAUCAAGUUGUUAUCUUUUUAUGUUGUUGGAUUUGUAAAAGUAAAGUCGUUAGGCAUUACAAUACCUAUUUUGGGGUUUCUUGGAGCAGCUUUUGUUUGAAAAGAAGAGAAUAGCGGUUCAUUUUUUAUUCAUUUUUUAUAAUAUAUGUCAAAAUUUACAUAGAAUUUAUUCAUUUUUUAAUUUUUUAUAAUAUAUAAAAUAAUAAAAUAUAUAUUUAUGACGUCACCGGUUCGAUAGCGGUUCGACCGCCGGUCCGACCGGUGAACCGGUAACUUUUCCGGUUCAAUGACCGGUCCGGUUCUGAAAACAUUGGUGCAUUGCUCGGGAGAGAUGUCAUCCUCAGCACCACCAUGGCCUGCCAUGCUUCCUGCUACACGUCCAUGUAGCUGGUUUUUCUCUAGAAAGAGGUUCCCCCCACUUAAAAAAAACAUGGAAAAAUCUCACUCUCCCUGGUGGUCUCAAAAACAAAAGAAAAACUAUUGGUUUUGGAAGGGUCUACAAAAAGCCUUAUGAAAGAAAUUCAUUAUAUUUAAAUUUGGUUUAAACUUUUUAUUAUUUAUUUUCAUUCAAUUUUCUUUACUUUAAAUUUUCAAGAUUCCAACAAACCAUUAUGUAAUUUUAAAUUCUUCAUGGUUUAUAUGCAAAAAGAAAAUACAAUAUAAAGGGCUUGUUUGGCAACAACAGUUUUUUAUUCUCCAAAAUAAAAAAAUUAGGCAAAUAUGUUUGACAACCAAAAAUUAUUUUUGUUUUCUAUUUUUGACAACAAAAAAUAGGAUGUUUUCAUAAAAUGUCUUUUAGUUGUUUUAUAUUAUUUUCAUUUUUUUUGUUUUAAAAAAUAAUUAUAAUUAUUAAAAAUGAAACACUAAACAUAAAAAUUAUUUUUAAAACAUAUUUAAAAAUAUUAAAAAUAGGUUAAAAAUAUUUUAGGUUUUCAAAUAAGCUUUUUUUUUUACAAAACAUCUCAUAGCUAUUUUAAAAAACAAUUAUCAAAUAGAUCCAAAUUUGCUAAAGCCUAACAUCCUUUUCAUUUUUUUUUUUGUCUUUCUCUCAUACUUUCUAUCUCCCAAACAAAGACUAACACUUCAUUUGGAUAUGGAAAGAUAUAAGGAAAUGUGCAAAAGAAAAGUAAAUAGGGGAAGGAAAUAAGGUGAAGUAAAACUAAAAAAAUUUAAAAUAAAUAAUUAUUUAAAAUUAUUUCAUCAUUUUAUCUUCUAAAAAAUUUUCCUUAUGCUUUAAUUUUAUUUUAUAUUAUCUAUGAUAGACCAAAUAAAAAAUUUAAUUUUUUUGAUUAUUUUUUCUCUUUUAUUGAUGCUUAUUUAUACUUUAGAUUUUUUUUAAAUUUUUUUUUAUAGAAAUUUACAUAAUUUCAAAUUCUUCACUUUUUAUGAGGAGAAGAAAAUGAGAAAAAAAAAAAAAAAAAUUCACAAAACAUAUUAAAAAUUUUAAUUAGGAUGAAGACUAUUAAAAAAAUAAAAAUUCCUAGGUAUUAAAAUAAGACCUUUAACCAACAUACCAAUAUUCUUUAAUAACAAAAAAGAUUGACAUCUAAUAUUUAGGUUAUAUUUGGUUUUUGAAAAUUUUGGGAAAAUAUAAAGGAAAGAAAAAGUAAAAAAGUAAAAUAAAAAAUAGAUUAAAAAUCAAUAAACUAUUUUAAAAUAUUUUUUCAAACUCAUUUAACUUAUUUUUCUCUAUUAUAUAAAGAUUAAAUAAAUUUAAAAUACAUAAAAUUUUAAUUAAUUUUAAUUAUAUUUGAUUUUCUUUUAUAUUUUCAAUAAUGAAACCAAAUAUUAGAAACUAUUUUUUUUAGUAUUUUUUUUUUCUUUCCUUAAUGCUUUCCGGAAACCAAACUUAACAUUAAGGAUUGGGUUUCGAAAACCAAACAUUGCAUUAAGGAUUGGGUUUCGGGAACCAAAUAUAGCAUUAAGGAUUGGGUUAUAGUGUGGAAUAGUAUAUUUUAGUAUUAUAUUUAUACCUUUAUUUGAAUGAAAUAAUGAGUAACAUAUUUUUUUUCCACUUAUAAAUAUCAAAAUUUUUCUAUAAUUGUUAAAAAAUCACAAAAAAGAAAAAAUUAUUAUUAUUUUUGUCAUAUUACAAUAAAACAUGUUUUUAUUUUAUUUUAUUUUUAAAAAUAAAUUUAAUAUUUAUUAUCUAUAAAAGGAAAAAUAUAGUUAAAAAAUAUUGAUGUGUACUUUUUUGGAGAUAAUAAAUAGCCCAACCCUCACCAACAAUUAGGAAAAAUCCACCUAACCACUCAGCCUAGAUCUUAGAAGAUGUGGCCCCUUCCAGAGACGAGUCUUGGCUGGGUACGAAAAGGGGAGAUAUGGUGCCCAUCCCUGACCAAAGGUGUCACUGUUUUCCAAUGGAUGGCAAAGAUGUUGCCAGCAUCCAUUCAGUUGCAGAUGAUUAGAUAAUACAAAUACAUGAUAAAAAGUGUCACAAAUCUCAUCUCUCAUGACUCAUGUGGCAUGGCUGAGAUUCCUAGGACAAAAACCCCCAUACCCAAGCUCUUUGUUGACCCUUUGAAGUGUUCCUCUUGAACCCCUUCUGAAUUGAGGAAAAAAGUGUCAAAUUUUUCUGGGUUUGGUGCAGAACUUGCAAAUGGCUUUGCCCGUGGCUUCUUCUGGGUGUGUUGGAGUCAACUCCAGUCAUAGCAGUCUCAAGGCCCUUGAAAACCCUCUGCUUUGCAUCUGUAGAGUCUCCUUUGGAUGGGAUUUCCAUCCUCCUUGUGUUCCUCUUAAGGGAAGGUAUGCUAAUUUUUUUGGGCUCUUUUCUGGGUUUUCUUUUUGAUGUAAUGCUCAGUUUUGAAGUGUAGUUUCCUCCAUUUUCUGGGUAUUUAUUGUUUCCCUUUUUAAUUGGGGUUUGGGUAUUUACUGUUCUGGUUUAACGACUUGGAUUAUAUUGAGGAUGGGUUCAUAAUUUAUAGCACUAUUGUCAUCAUGUUGAUGAGAUCUUGUGUGUUUCUAUAUUUGGCUAGUGGAUUUUGGUAAAAAACUGAUAUAAAUGCUGGAAAAGAUUAAUAACACACCGAUGUUUCUUUUUUCUUGUAUGGGUUAUGAUCUAAUUGGAAGUAUGAUACUCAGUAGGAUUAAAGUUUACAAUUAUAGACCAUUUUUGUGAUUUUUUGAUGAAUUGAUGCAAUAGAUAUUGAUGGAUGCACGUAUUUCAAGAGAUGGAAUCAAUGGGUGCUAUGUCUUUGCCUCCCUGAGCCUUGGUGUUUUUCAUGAACUUGACUGUAAACUGCCUUGUGCUCCAUUAUUGAAAAAUGCUUGCCUUUUCAUAUCAUAUCCCUUGUCCUAAAUUUGACUUUGGAAAGCCAGAAAAUUGCAGUCAGCUGAGAAUAGUGGCUGACUGCCUUUGGUAGAUACUGUGUUUUGGAGAUUCCUAAAGCUGAAUGGCAAGCCCAAUGAAUAAUAUGAUACUGUCAGUUUCUUUUUGGUGUUUAUUUGUGGAUAUAGACGUAAAUGUAGAGAAUGGGUUUGUGUUGCUCAUCUAUUGACUUUUUGUGAUUGAUGGUUCCGAGGGUGAAACAGAGUUUGAAAAAUGGCAUAUUGUUAGAAUAGUAAAUUUUUGUUGGAUGUUAUUGGUCCAUGAAUCUGGUUCAUCUAGGUAUCAAGAAUAUCUUAUAAAUGUGUUGAUGCUACAUUUAAUAGUUCUUAUUUAAGUUGCAUCUAAAAAAUAUUUAUGAUUCUUUAAUAUAAGAAAAGACGGAUGGUUAUUGUUUGCUUGUUUGAGCAUAUGCUAUUUCAUUCUGUAGAUGUAAAUAUGAUCCUUGGAAUCAAAUCAAUAUGAAAUAAAAAUUACUACGGUAUCCCCCAAAUGGGUUUUGGCAUACUUGGAUACAACUAUAGGCUAGCUCUCUUUUGUUGAUUGGAUAAUUUUGGUUUAUGUGCAUUUGUUCCAUUUGGCAUUGAGAAUGUGUAAUAUGUCUAAGUACCUUACUCUUAAGUCAUUUCCCUUACUAAAGUAUGUGUGGUUUGCUUUCAGGCUGUCCUCUUCCGUGUCUACAAUCACUCCAAGGGCAUCAUCGGCAACAGCUUUGAAGGUAUCAAAUGAUGCCAAUUUAUGUUAUGGGUUGUCGUUGAGUGUCAAAUUCUUCUUAUUUCUUUUUGUCUUUGGUUGUUGGACUGGUGGAACAGGAUGGGAAACCAGAUGGAAAUUAUGAUGAUACUGAUGCAAUUCCCACUCCCAAAGUUAUAAUAGAUCAAGACUCGGAUCCAAAUGCAACUAUUGUGGAGAUAACUUUUGGUGAUCGCUUGGGAGCGCUUCUCGACACUGUAUAAUAACUUUUACAUUUCUGGAUCAGAUAUUUUUGUUUGUCUAAUUUUUUGCUUCUGCCAUUUUAUUGACUCAUACCCAGAAAAGGAAAUUAUUGGUUCUGUGAGUUCCUUUGUCUUUGGCUCAGUUUGAGUACCUUUAUCUUUCUACAAUAGGAUUUCUGAUACAUCAUCUAGCUUUUUUAAAUUGCUUGCAGAUGAAUGCACUUAAAAAUCUAGGGCUGAAUGUUGUUAAAGCAAAUGUCUUUUUGGAUUCUUCGGGAAAGCACAACACAUUUGCCAUCACCAAAGCGUAAGUCCGUGGAGUAGAAUUUAGAUGCAUUUUUGCUUCAAUUCCCAUAUCUAUCAAUUCUUUUCUUUCAUUCCACCUUGUUACUGAUAUCUCCCAAUUUUGUUGCUAAUGACCAUUUUUUUGUUUUACCUAUUUUUCUGCAUUAUAGAUAUGCUUGUUAAGUUCUCUAGCAUCUAUUUUUCUCUGUUACUGGAAUACUGCCAUUUUUAAGGAAUUUUCUUCUUGACUCUCCUUAAAAGAUACGAUAUUAAUUUUUAACGAGUUAAGUACAUUUCAUUUUACUCGGAAGUUUAGACCUCUGUCAUUCUCAAACCUAAACCUCUAUUAGCUUAUCUUAAAACUGAAUUUCCUUAGGCUGGAGAUACUUGAAUGCAUUAACUAGACUCUUAAACUAUAAAAGCACCUCAAAGCAUAGUGAUAUACUUCUAUUGAUGAUAACAAAAAUGUGGUAUUUUCUGGAAUUUACAUUGCAAAUGUGUUUUUCAUAACACAAUAUGCCUCCAUAGUUGAAUGCCAAAGUUUUUAAAAGCAUUUCAGAUCAAUUCAUGUAAUGUUUGUUUUCCAAUGGUUCUAGUCGAUUUAGACCUGGUCCUUGUUCCCUGAAAUGACUUUGCAAAAAGAAUUUCUGAAAAUAUGAUUUACCUUCAUAUUUUGGACAUUGUUUUUUCACAAGCAUUUUAAAUGAGGUUGUGCGAUUGAUGUUUUCUGUUGAUUCUGGUCAAUUUAGUGCUGGUCGUUGUUUGCAGUGAUACUGGUAGAAAAGUUGAGGAUCCUGAGUUGCUUGAGGCAAUUCGUUUGACGAUUAUAAACAAUAUGCUUCAGUAUCACCCGGUAUUCCUUUGUAAAUAUUUGUUUCUUGGCUUGACAUGCCCCUUGAUAGAGAUCUCUUGUAAGAUUUGCUCUCUUUUUAAGUUUCUUAAAUUUUCUGAAUUUGUGGUCCAGGAAUCAAGCGAGCAGUUAGCUAUGGGAGUAGCCUUUGGAAUUACGCCACCAAAACAACAGGUUCUGAUUUUAUUUUUCAUUCGUAAAAAUUUUACUUACCACAAUGGUGGACCAUUAUUGUUGUAAGACAACACUUCACCCAGAAUAAUCAUAUUAUGAUGUUUAGCCAUCAGUUGAGAUGUAUGCUAUCAUGUGUGUGAUAUAAGCCACUAGCACUUGGUAAUGAAUGCUGCUUUCUUGGCACACACGUCUGCUCAAGCACUUGCACUUAUGUGUGUGGUGCUCUGAUGAUUGUUAUAGUCUGUGAACUUCAUCUCGCAAAGCUUGCAUUCCCAGCCAUGGGUAUGGUGGUUAAAACAUCCCUAUUGAGGGGCUUGGCUCCAUUGUCUUCUCUAUUGGGGGUGGUAGGCUUUGAAAUUUAUUGGUAAUAAGAGAUAUAAGAGAAUAUUUCUCUGUCAAUCAGUUUCUGCCUUCCAUUUACAUGUACAUGAUUUAUAAUGGAUCGAUUCGAUAUCCAUCAAAGAUAAUAUGUCAGAUUCCCAAUAGUGACCUUGAUUUGAGAAUACACUGAUUGCUAUUUCUUUAUUCUGUAAUUUACAAUAUAUGUUCCAAUUAUCAAGGGAGUGUGUGAAAAAGGGAUCUCCCUAUUGGAUUUUGUUUUGCUUUUUAGAGAUGAACUUUUCACUCUUUAUUAUGCAUCCCAAGUGGACAGCAAUCACAUAUCCACUCAGACUUGCACUUCGUUGCUGAUGCAAACAUUUUCUUUCCCUUUAAAGAUGGCAUUUACUUAUCCAUGUACUUCUUCUGUUGUGUUUGGCUUCAUCAGGUUGAUGUGGACAUAGCGACCCACAUAAGUGUUAAUGAUGAUGGUCCUGACCGAAGGUAAUGCUUGUUUUGUUAUAUUUCGCAAUCUGAUGGGACUUGUGUUUUGGUUUAUUUCUCAAUAUGAUGGGACUCUUGCCACCUAAUCAGUGCCCCACAUUUGAAAAUAAUUGUUGAGGUUGAAGCCCCACAUGACACUACCCUCCUAAUGUUGUGGGGCAAUGCCUUGAUCAGCAGGCAAAUAGUAACUUAGUUCUUAUCCUUGUUGCAGCUUGCUUUAUGUGGAAACUGCAGAUCGCCCUGGAUUACUGGUGGAUCUCGUAAAGAGCAUCACUGACAUUAACAUAGAUGUUGAAUCAGGAGAGUUUGACACUGAGGUAAUAGUCACUUUGUACGUGCUGCAAUUUUCAGGUCUUUAAAGGAGGAUAGCCCAAAUUUACUAAUUUGUCAUCAAAUUUUUGUUUCCACUUCUAGGGUUUGUUGGCCAAGGCAAAGUUUCAUGUCAGCUACCGCGGAAAAGCCAUCAUCAAGCCUCUCCAACAGGUAAAAUUAGCAAUCAGAGGGGGAUUCAAACUGUCUUCCAAGGCCAAAAAACAGCCUUGCUAGUCUAAUAGUUAUGAUUGAAGACUAAAACUAGUUAAGAUGGUUAAAGAAAAUACAAUAUAACAGAGUUGAGUUUGGUAGUCGAGCUGAGCUGAGGGUUGGUUUUGUUUAGGAACAUUCAUCUCCAUGUUGCAGAAUUUUAACACUACCAAACUUGGCAGGUUCUUGGUAAUAGUUUACGGUAUUUCUUGAGGCGACCAUCAACAGAGGAGGCAAGUUUUUGAGCCAUUCUAGACGAAAUCACCUUCAAGACUGAUUACAACUAACUCAUUCCAAGGAUCAUGUGAUUGUUGUAGUCAUUGCCCAUUUUUAAGUAUAUGUGGAGAACUCUACAAUAAGAAUCUUCUUAUAAAAUAAUAACUAUGUAGACUGUUGAUUCAAUAUGAGUGCAGGCCUCGAUGAUUAUGGUUCAUCUGUGUUUUUCUUUCAAAUUAAUAUACAAAACAAGGAUCAUCUACGAGAAGUACACAUGCUGCUAGUAUACAUGCUGCUAGUGUACAUGCUGUGUUGGUUGAAUCAAUCUUUGUACAGAUUAGCUGGUGGCGAUGAUCAGAAAAGCGACAGAAACAUACAUGAGGAGGAGAGGGUAAAGGGCGAGUGCCUUUCUCUUCUGGGUGACAGCAGAACUGAUGAAUGGAUAGGCAGCCCAAGAGCUCCAGAACAUGGUAACAAACACGGCAAUCAUCCUUGCUAUGAAAUGGCCUUUGAACAGGCAAAUCAGGGCUCCUAUGUCCAGAGGAAACAGGCAGUAGCCCAGAAGGCUGAGGCUUUGGAAGAAGAUUAUUUUCCCUCCCUGUUAUUUACAAGAAUGAAGGUUACAUAUCUUUUGUGUAUGCUUUUCUUCUCAAAACAAAUGGUGAAAGCUCGGGUCUGCGAAAAUAUGAAAAUCUACAUACCAGGAGGAGGACGUUCAAUGUAAGAACGAUUGCACCGAUUCCAAGCAGUGCAAAUGAAACAGCAAAAAUUUCGGACUGGAAAAUAAACGACAUAGGUGGUCAGAAUCUCACUCAAGAUUCGCCAUUUCUGAAGGUAUGGUACUCACCUUUUUGAUGGAUGCAGACCAGGACAAGGUGAGACCGAGGAAGAUGACAAAGAAGAACGGCCCCCAGAGGUCCCAAUCCCUCAAGGCCUUCCCGGGGUCUUCACGGUGAGGAUUAGGGAACAAAACAAGCUUCAAAUUGCUCAGAAUUCGCGAUAAGUCCCUCUGUACGGUUUCCCAGACCGGCUCGGUUAAGGUUGGUGCAACAAUGUUGUGACCAGGUGGAAUGACAACCGGGCUAGGGCUGGGUGUUGGAGACUUAGCGUUGGAUGAAGCAAAAGGCAGCGAUGAAUAGGGGAAUGGCGGUGUUCGUGGACUAGACCGCCUCGUUGGUUCCAGAACCGCCUGUCCAACUUGACCGGCGCCAUGGAAAGGGUUCUCAAAGUUGUUUUCCAUGAUACAUGGAGGAUAAGAAGAUACAGUUUUCUGGGAAAAUCAAAGUAUAUAUGGAUUAUUUUAUGUCAGAACCCUAAAAGAAAUAAGAAAGUAAAUGGGAAAAAUAAUAAGAAUGGGGAAGAUUGAAUCAUUGAUGAUGAAUGGCGGCCAUGAGAAAAUAGAGGAGGAAGGAGGGAAGGGGAUAAGAGAAAGAUGGACGCAAAGGGGGUGGAGAAGACUUGGCUUAAUUAGUAUUCAUGCAUGGAUUCAUGGAAAAGAGUGAUUGGAAGCCCAAUUUUCGGACGUAUACCCUCUUUUCUUCUCUUUUCAUUUUUCACCACAUAUCCAAAUUUUCUUUCUUUUAAAAGGGCAAGUAAUUUUUUUAAAAAGAGAAUAUAUAUAUAUGCAAAAUCUUAAUUCUAUUUCUUCUCCAUUUUUUUUCUUUUUUUUUCUUUUUUUCCUGAUCAUUUUCUUCAGAGGUAAACAAAGAGGGUAUUUUGAUAAUUUCAUACAUAGAGUUUAUUUUUAAAAAACGAAAAAUUGAAAGAUUGAAUGGAUGCAUUUAGAUUUCUCUUUAUAUGAAAUUGGGAACAAUCUUAAUAUGUCCUACAAAAAGACAGAAAUGCCUUCAAACACUUCAAUGUUUUCACUUUGGAUGGAAGUGGUCUUUUAAAUAAACACUUCAAGAAAUCUUUAAAUCUUAAAAAAAUCUUUGAGACUCUAUUAAAAAAUUAUUUUUGAAAACAAUGGUUGAAAAUUGUUUUUUAAUGUUUUAUAAAACAAAAGAUUGUUUUUAUAGAACAAAAAAAUGUUUGGGAUUUGAAAUGAUCUUGACUUGUUUUCUAUGCCUUUAAAUAUGUUUUAAUUUAUAUAUAUAUAUAUAUAUAUAUAUAUAUAUAUAUAUAUAUAUAUAAUGUUUUAUUUAUAAUCAUCUUCCAUGCUCAUAUAAUUAUUUUUUAAAACAAUUGUAAGAAAACAUAAAAACAACUAUAAAAUGUUCUCUAAAAAUACUACAUUUUUUGUAAAAGAAAAAAAAUGAAAUAGUCUUCUAAUUACUAGAAUAGAAAAUUAUUUCCAAAUAGAAAAAUUAUUUUGAAAAAAUAGUUGCUAACCAAGCUCAAGUCUUCAAGAAAUUUGUCAAAUUCUUCUUUACUCUUCAAAUUGGCAUAUGAAAAGAGAGGAGAAUUCCAUUUAUAGGGUCAAAAAAUUUGUUUUGAUAUCAUCUCGUAACUUUCUAGAGAUUGAUUAUUUUUAUGACAAUAAUUAUCAUUAUUUUAAUUACCAUGAAUUAUUUAAUCAUGAUAAUUAUAUUAUUUACUAUUUUAAUAAUCAAAAUUAAUUAAUUAAUUUAUUAUUAUGAUUUUUAAUUUAUCACAAGAUUAUUUUUUCUUUUAUAUGGGAACCUUUUGAUAUGUGUCAUGGAAAAAAACAAACAUGAUAAAUGUCAAAAUUUAAUAUAUCUUAUAAUAUAAUAUGUGAUAUUGUUGUAUUUAAAGUCAUUAAUGUCAUAUGAUGUAACGACUCGCUCUCAAUCAUGUAAAUAUUGUUCACUUUAGAUCCAAAGAGACUCUCACGGCUUUAAAACGUAUCUAUAAGAUUAGGAGGAGUCCAUACUUAUAUAGCACCAUAAACUUUCUCCUCUAUCCGAUGUGAGAUGUCACAAACACCCUCCCCCAUGCAGAUAUAAUGUCCUCGUUGUGUCCCAUGGGAUUACAGUGCUUUUAGCUCAAAAAAUGUUUUUGAAAAAAAAUAGAUAUUUGCCAAAUUUUAGAAUUUUUUUAAAAAAAUAUAAAAUAUCACUUGUAGUGUCGAAAAUUUACUUAUAGUGUUUUUUUGGAGAAACACUUUAUAUGUGAUUCUCUUAAAAACACUUUCAGAGGAGAUAAUUUCACUAAAAACAUUUCUAGCAGAAACUGCUAAACACACUCUAAGCCUAUAAAUACCACAUCACUCUUCUUUAUUUUUCAUAAAUUAUUUAAUAAUUUCUUUCUUGAAACUUUACAAAUUUUGAAUUGGGACAUUUUCAAAUAGCGUUUUUUCUUUGGAGGUUUAUAUUUGCUUUUUUCUUUUUUCUCCUUUAGUUUUUAAUUUUUUAUUUAUAUUUAUUUCUUCACUUAUUGCUUUAUUCUUGAUCAUCAUUUUAUUUUGGAAUAAAUUAGCUUUGCUUGGUGUUGCCUCGGUGGGUAUGUGCCUAAGGAAGCUAAAUUAUCAAUAUUAAAUAAGAUUUUCAGUAACAAGGUAGAACAGAGACACUUGCAAACUAAAUCCAAAUAAAAUAUGCAGAUAUGGUAUUUCACUAAAAUAAAAAUUCUACACCAUCCUUAACAAGUCUAGAAGACAUUCCAAUUGACCAAAUAAAUUAGUCAUGUCUUGUUUAAUACCAAAAUUAAAAUAAAUUAGCAUCAUUCCACAUAACAUUCAACAUAGGUUAGAACAAAGACACUUGUAAAAUAAAUCCUAUAAAAAAAUAAAAAAAAUCUAGAAAUAGAAUUUCACCAUAAAAAAAAAUUGGACAACAUCUCCUAUGUGUCUAAAUUACAACCCAAAAUGCCAAAUCAUUAAAUAGUAUCCUAUUUAAUACCAUAUUUAAUUAUAAGCACAUUGGUAAGAAAUAAGGCAAAUUUCAAUUGCAUAUCAAAAUGGAUUUAUUUGACUAACCUAAAAACAUGAUAAAAUCAAGGAAAAAAUGUUCAAUACAUUUAACAUGUUCAUAUUACAAGAAAAAUAGAAGCAUGAUUAAAUCACAUAGAAAUUUUUUAAAUUAAGCCAAACAACCCCUACUACAAAACAAGGUCAGUGCAAUAGGUGUAAGAAAAAGUGUUUUUUUUUUCUUCCACUUAAGGAAUUGACUUUCAAUGAAACAUGGUCCUAAAAUUAACUUUGAGAAGUGUAGAUUAAGGAAAAAGUAUUGGAAAAAAAUUAAAGGAGUUGAAAAAUAAUUGAUUUUUGCAAAAUCAAUUCGAGUAUCCAAAAUAGGGUUAAAACUAAACCUGUGUAAAAACUAAUUUAAAUCUCUUCAUUAAAAAAAAAGAUUUUGAACCCAAAUUAAAUUUAAUUAAUAAAUUUAAAAGGUUAUGAAUAUGUUCCAAGCAUGAAAAUAAUUUUAUAAAAACCAUAAGUUAUUUAGUUUCAAUUUUUCAAGUCAGUAGACUUUUGAAAAGUUGAAUGUAUGUAGGCCUCAUCAAGCCCCUAUUUAUUAUACAUGAAUUAAAUUUAUGCAUCCUUAACGUCAUAUGAAUAUUAGUAAGCUCAUUGAGGCAAAGAAUCAUUUCAGUUUGUUUGGAGCCAUGAACUUGGAUUAAUAUGUACAAAAAUAAGAAAAAAAAAUGAAUAUCAUUAAGAAAAAUGCAUACCAAUUGAAACAUAUUGACAUAUAUUUUUAAAAAGAUUUUUUUUUUUUUUUUUUUUUUGUUUUUUACAACUUAGAGAUGCCAAAAGAUGAGUUAAAAAUGGAUUGUGAGUCAAUUAUAAUUGGAAAAAAAAAUUUAAAAAGCAAGUUUAAAAAAAAUAAUCACAAAGGUCACACGAAAUUACAAAAACAAGAGUAAGAAUACAACUAAGGAAGAAAGUGUGUGUGUGCGUGUGCACUAAAAUGAAGUGAUAAACUUUAGUGUGUGCUGAAAAUCAGUGAGUGAAAGUGUAAGUGUAAUGAGGUGAAUCACAAACAUUAAUUUACCUAAAGAGAAAAAUUGAAAUAGGAAUGAACCAAAACAAAUAUCAAAUUCAUACAAAGCCAAUUAUCAUGAUAUUUUUUUUUUCGAAUGGCUUGAACCAAGUGAGAAUAAAUAACUAAAAAAAAAAAAAAAUAGAAGGAAGAAUUGAUCCUAAAUGUAAUUUCAAUCAUACAUCAAACAACAUAUAAUAUCAAUAAUCUUCAUGCAAUCACAAACAAUUUAUAAGCAGAUAUUAAUAUGUAAUCAUCAACAAUUAUCUAACAAUCAAUAACAUAUAGUUAUUAACCAUCAACAAGCAAUCAACAAUCAUGGAAUUAUCAAAAUUCUCAAGCAUUGAACAACAAACAAUUUUCAUCAACUCAUAAACAUUCAACAAUAUGUAAUUAUAAAAAAUUCUCAAAUUACAACAUCAAGUAAUUUUAAAAAAUUCCUAACAAUCUUUAUGACCUAUGCAUCCACACCAAUCAAAUAGAAUUCCUAUAUCUAAGUAAGAUGAAUGGAGAAGAAAAAGAUGGAGAGAUGAUCAUAAUCAAGAUGUAGAGAGAAUUGAAGAACAUACCUUUCCUCUAGAAAAGAUAAAACUUGAUUUCUUCUUGCUUUUUUUAAGACUUCUUUUUUCUUCACUCUCAAUUAGUGGCAACCUUAGGUCCCUUUCUCAAGGUUGUUAACUUAUAAAUUGUGAACAUAGAAGAGUCCCAUCUCCUUUAAAAACUCUAAUAUCAUAUAUCCAAAUGAUAGUUGUGUAUCUCAAGUGGCAACCCCUCCUUUAAUGGCCUAAUCCCUUAAAAAAAAAAAAAAAAAAAUCCCAAUUUGUGAGUUUCCUAUCUAAUUUCCCCACUCCAAGGUUGUGGACACUUCCAAUUUCGAUAUGGUGUGAAUCAAAAUCCCCUCCUCAAUCUUCAAAAACUCCUUAAAGAAGAAUCCUACUCUAUCCAAAUCCCUUUUUCCAUAAUCAAUAUCUUUUCUUUCCUUAUGAGCAGUUGUGGACCAAGAGAGUCCUAUCAAAAUCCAAGUCAAUAUGGUGUAUUCCAAUCUCUAUGCCCAUCAUCCUCUCUAAGAGUCCUAACCUUCCUAAAAUUCCAUGUCAUGUAUGCCUUCCAUAUCUCAAUCUCAUUUUUCCUUUAAUGUAGCGUGAAUUCCCUUUCCAAUAAGAAUCUUCUCCUCAAAAUUCUAUGGCAACUGUGAGUAUCCAAAGAAUCCUUCCUUUAUGAAAAUCUCUAAAACUGUGGAUGUUCCUAUCUCCAUAAUGUUAGCCAUGUCUCUCCUAUAGGGAUGACUUGUCUUGGCCAUCAAGAUGGGUUUCCCAUAGUGAGUGCACUAGUGUAUGUGAUGCACACUAGACAGAACCUAUGGUGAAUCAUGAUGCAAGGUUAGCAAUUUUCAUGAUUCACCAAGCUACUAUAUUACAUAGACUCUCAACUUUGAAAUGAUAUUUAGUAUGUGCAAAAAUCAAUAGGAGGCUUUAACCUAUGGGUGAAAUCCCAAAGUUGUCAUAUAUCCUUAUUGAUUGGGUUACUAUAGAUGGAGAUUGGUGGCAAUAGGUAUUCUCAAUAGAAGCACCAUGACAUCUCAUGGAUUGAGACAGUGUGUCCCCUUGAGUGAUCCAAAGGACAUGUGAUCAUAAAUUUGUGGUCGUAGUAAUUCCAUUGGUGAAAUUUGACAUAUGCUCAUUAGAGCUACAAUAUGUUAAUUGAUUACAUAAUAAGUGGAAUCUAUAACUCAAGGAUUUAAGAGGUAAUCUUGAUAGGUGAUAGUACUGCCUUGUUAGAUUACGAACAUUAGUUCAUGGAGAGUCUGCAUGCAGUGGAUAGUAGGUCACGGACCCGAGUUUCAUCUCGUUGUUAUUUACAUAAGAUACUGGAGUGUAGUUGAUUCUCUUUAGUGGAAUGUUGAAUCAAAUUUAGAAUUGGAUUUUGAGGGAGUCAGUACUUCUAUGAGUUUCAGUGGUCUCUAUUCUAAACUCAUAUAUUAUGAUGACACAAUUUAUGAAAGUUGGAUUGGCUCUAGGUUCACUAUUUUGCAUAAGGGUGUUUUGGUAAUUACGCAAGGUUGCACAAGGCAUAGUUAACAAGGUCUCUAGAUUAGACUAAUUGAUUAAUUAGAUGGUUCUAUAUAGUUAAUUAAUCAAUUAAGACCCAUGACCUAAGCCUUGGUGAGCUCAAGUCAUUUAACUCCAAUAGGGGAACCCUAUAAAUACCUCCUUAGGGAUUAGGAUUUCUAUCACUUUUUGGUUAGGGUCAUCUUCCACCUCUAGAGAGAGAGAGAGAAUCAUAUCUUCCUUCCUUUCAAUGCCUACACUUUAGAGUGUCAAGAUCCUGGUUUGAGUCAUUGAACUAAAGAUAUUGGGUGUACAAGACCUUUAGACCAUUCAGACAUGUUUUUCACCACAAUGAAUUGAUCUGUGAACAUCCAGAUCUAGGUAUGAGUACUAUAUCUUUAGAUCUAUAAUUAAUAAAGGUUUUUAUUUUCAUUUUAUUCUGAUGCGAUAGUUUAGAGAUGCUUAGGGAUAGAUGUAUGCACCCUACGAGAUCCAGGGUAUGGGAACGGAGUAAUCUGGGGUUCCCAACACCUUUUCAAUGAGGAGAUGGUUUUCAUAGUAUAGCAUGAGGGUUUAUUCACAACAUUUGAGUUUUUUUAGAGGAAGUAGGAGUCUCUUUAGGAGGGGACAACAUUGGAAACUUAGGAUGGAAGUAAUCCUUUUUAGAAGAUUAAAAACAUGGAGAAAUUUUAAGAAAGGAAAACUUUCAUCUAUCUAUGAAAAAUGGAAACUUCAGAAAAGAUAGAACUCUUUUUGGAGGAGAUAGAGAUUAGAGAUUAAGGAAGACAUGGUUACCUUAUUGAGGAGGAUUCUCUAGUGUACACGGCAUGGGAAGGCUUGAGUUUUUGGAAAGAUGUAAGAUUCUUCAAAGAUGUAGAUUGGUUUUAGAGAUUGAGGAAGACUCUUAGCGAUGGACAUGACAUUAAAGAUUUUUUUGGAUUAGGAAGACUCUUUGAAAUUUGACUUACGACAUUGUAUUAGGAGAUAGUGCACUAUAGUCUUUACCAAAUUGCUCAAAUUCAUGAACUGAUUAUAGACAACUUAUCUAUUGACAAGGAAUUGAUGACUUGUAUCUUUUGUGCAACUCCUAAUAUAUCCAAGUCAUGUACAAUGCAAGAAAUAUGAGUUGAAUGCUCAAAUUAAUGUCAAUGCAUAAAAGGGAUAACAAGGGGAUAGUUAAAUCUGACUUUGUUAUAUCAUGUCUUGCUUUUAGGUGCUCAAUCAAACAAGAGGAUCCUCAUCAAUCUCUAAAAACCAAUCUAGGUAUCUCUACUUUCCAAUCUCCUUCCCCUCAUCAAAAUAGUCUUUUUAUUUAUUUUUAUUUUUAAAAUCUCUAAUAUUGUGUGAAUCCACUUCCAAAGAGAGUUUUAUCUCCUCUAAAAUCUAAAAACCCUUGUUGUUUACAAAAGGGAAUCUUCCAAAAGGGAGUCUCUCAAUCUCCAACUCAAAAUGGCAUGAAUGCCCUCCAAAGAGAGUCUUCUCUUAACCAAAAUCUCAAUGUUGAUCUGUAUACCAAAGAGAAGCCCUUCUAUCCUUAAAAGUCUCAUUUUUUCUUCCGCAAACAAAGCUCCAUGCAUAAGCCAUGCAAAGUGAUAUAAAAUACUAUCCUUAAAUGCACUGAAAUGGAAAUAAUUGAGAAUGCAUCUAGAUGAACUAUCCUAAAGUGCAGCUAACUAAAAUGCAACUAAAAAAUUUCCUAAAAUGCAACUAUGUGAGUUAGGCUAACUAAACUAAAUCUAAAAUGCAACCAAGUGAGCUAAACCUAAAAUGCAACUAAGUUAACUAAGUUAAUAUGCCAUUAGGAGAGCUAAGCUAAGGUGCCACUAAGUGAGCUAGACUUAAAAUGUAACUAAGUGAGCUAUGUUAGGGUGCCACUAAGGCCACAUUUGGGAUCUAUAAAAAAAUUCAUCGACAAUGAAUCUUCAAAGGUGGCUCAAAAACAGUAUCAAAUGAGUGACAAUGGACUACCAUGAAAUGACUAUAAGGUAACAAGAAGUGAAGGAAACCACAUAGAAUAAUAUGUGCUACUUCUAAAUCUAAUUAUAUAUAUUUUUUUAUUUGAAAAAAAAAAAAAAAAAAAAGAUUGCAAAAACUAAAGCCAUUAAAAAAGAAAAAAAAAAAACUUACCUCUAAAUCUACGAAAUUUCUUGAACCAAAGAAGAGUCAUUUCCCUUGAUUGUGUCAGGCUUUCUUUUCCCUCUAAGUGUGCUAGGGUCUACAACAAGUGGGGUUUCCAAAUAGGAAUUUCCUUAUUGGGCUUCUAUAAUGAAAAUUAUUUUUUCAUUAUAAAUGUCACAUAUAGUUAAAUAACUAACCCAGUAUUUAUAUAUAUAUAUAUAUAUAUAUAUAUAUAUUGUUAUAUGGAUUUAAAAUAUUUUAUAAGUAAAACAUUAAAUAAAAUAAAAAAACUAGUAUAAAAUUUAAAUUUUGUUUUACUUAUAAUUAAAAUUUUUAAAAAUUCAACUUGAAAAGUUAAAUCAACUAAAAAUGAUUUCAAAAUAAUAUAUUUAUAAAUUUUAAAUUUAAAAUAGAUGAAACAUGUUAUAAUCACAUGAAUAAUGUGUGUUAAUGGGUUAUUUGUGUCAAUUUAUAUACAAUUUAACUUAACCCAUUUAUUAAACAAAUUAUGGGAUGAAUCAUAUUAUCUAUAUAAUUCACAAGCCAUAUUUGUGUCAAGUCAUUCGGACACAACUAUUAUAUUGGUUGUAUUCAAGUUCAAUAAAUUUUCACUAUUUCUUGUCUUAAGAUGACACAACAUGACCCAUUACCAACCCUAGGAUGCCUAUAACUAUAAAAUUGUCAACAAUAUUUUUUAUCUUUUCAAAAAUAAUUUGACAUUGUUGAAGGGUACUUUUUCUUGAUUAAUUGAAGUUGGCAAUACAGUUGCAACACUCUCUUGCCUUUGAUUGAAAGCAAAAGGUUUCUCCAAGGUGAUCCACACCUCUAAACUUAUGGAACAACUUAUCAUCUCAACAAGUAGUCCUUAAGAUAUUGAAGAUGAUAAACAACUUAUUACAGGUUGAUCUUAUUGAUGCCAUAAUUUAUAUUCUUGAUUUGUGAUUUUGCAUGAAUGAGAAGAGCCUAGAAUACAUCAAUAAACUAUGAAGAACAUUUUAUUGUACCAUUGGUAAAUCCAUAUAGAUUUUAUCCUUGAAUUGCCAAUAGAUCUUGGGAUUUCUAGAUCAAAUAACUACUUUGACCUAGCUUGUUAGGUAAAGAUUGGUUGAACAUACUAGAGAAGGGAAAUGCAAAAUUCAUCAUUUGUUGAUUGUAGAUUAAUAAACUUAAGGUUGACAUAUUUGUAGUUUUGUGAGAGCUUUUAUGGCUUUGGUACCAUGACAAGUCUCUAAUGAGAAAUUUUUUUUUCUCCUUUUCCAUCUAUCCAAUCUUUAUAUUGAGAAGUUUCUAAGAACUUUUCUUCUCCAUAUUAAACACAUUAGUUUCUAACUAAUUUCCCAUUUUAAAAGAAGUUUUUUUCAUUUGAAUUUUUUUUAAAUACCUAGCCUUCGAUGUUUCACCAUUUAUUCCCCAACAUUGUGUGGGCGUUUUUUUUUUUGGCAAUUAUAUGUGGAUUUACUAAUGUAGUAACUUAGGUUUCUUCAUUCUCUGCUCUGAACAUCAUGAAUUUUCCAUUUGUUUGUUUGUUUGUUUUUUUUUUUUUUUACAUUAAAUGAGUUUCUCCUUUCAUUCCUCAUCUAUGCCUACACCAAAAUAGCAUUUUAGGUUUCUCCAUAUAUUCCUUUCAUAAUGUGAGUUUCUCCAUUUUGUUUGUUAUCUUCUUGUUAGGGGUGACUGAAACAUAAUAUUUGGAUUCUCAAUUUUGCUUUUUGGGCCUUAACAAGAAGAAGGAAAUUCCUAUCCUCUCAUUUUUUACUGAGAUAAAGAAAAGGAAAAAUAUUGAGAUAAAGCAUGAAUUCUUAUUGUUAAUAAACUAGGGAAACAACAACGAUGAUAAGUGAUAACAAUAGCUUGUUCAAAGUUUCAAGCAAUGUAAUACAUUGGAUCAGGCAACUUAAAAGUCCUAUUCCCUGUAUUAGUUCCCAAGAUAUCACUCCAUUGAUCACCCAUGUUUCCAACUAUUUUGUAUCCACUCUCCUCAACCUUUUUCCUUUGAUUUGAUUUGUACACAAGUGCUGUGCUUCCAUCAGAUGAUUUCCUACAACAAGAACAACAAUAAAAAAAAAUUAAUAAAGAAAAAUAAAAUCAUCAAAUACUAAAAUUAAUAUUUAGUAACAAAAAUGUCCAUUUCUUUACUCAUUUUCAUCUAAAAAUCAAUUCAUUGUCAUGGGGUGAAGAAAAUUGUCACACCAUCAAGGCUCCUAGCUAUCCUGAGGCUUAUAACAGGAUUUUGCUUUUUGAGCCCGACACAUAUCAACAUCAUUGAUGGGGGUUGCUACCCAAAAUGCAGGGCAUAAGGGAGUUUUACUGUUAGACCUUGAUUUUAUAUGUGAUCUCAUUUUGGACCUUGAUUUUAACUAUUUGCUUACCUGAGUAUGAGCUUCUCCCAAGUAUGGUAUCCCACCUUCUUUAAAUUGGCUACUGUGACGUUUCUCUCGUCUUCUCCUUUUCCUGUUAAGAACACAACUUUAAUCCCCAGGGACACCAGCUUGUUGUACAGCUUAAGACUUUCCGGCAACGCUGGUGCCUCCCCUUUCAUGACCCAUUCAUUGAACGACGUCUCAUUGAAGACUUCAGCCCUGAAAUUUCAAGAGAAGAUUCACGUAAAAACAUAGCACAUACAUGAAUAUUGGCCAGAAAAAUCAGGAAUAUUCAUGUUUGUAGAUGCUAAAGUUACCCAAAUCCGUUUUCAGCAUAGUAAGGCAGAUUAGAAAGAGUUGUCUCAUCUAUAUCAAACACCCAUACGUCCUUGCCAUCUCCACCCAACUUGAGGCUUUCAGCAUAAGCAAUUGCCUCAUACACCACCACUCUCGAGUCUUGCCGGUAUUGGUGGCCGAGCAUGUAAUGCCCCACAUAGCUUUCACAUGCUUGUGGAACAGUCUCCCAGUUUAUAAUGUUGUUGGUUUCCACUGCAAGUCUCCAGCUCGGGCAGGAAAGACCCGAAGCAGGGUGGACGCCGGAGGCAAGUCGUGGCCGGAGGAGGUGGAUUUCAUGGGAUAUUCCCAAGGAAAGCUCAACAGUAAGGGCAAAAAGAAAGAGCAACAGGGCCACUCUUCCCAUGUUGAAGUACUGUGGUGGUCGUGGAGAAACCACCCAAUUUACAUGAAUUUAUAUAGGCUCCAGCAAGUGAAAAUGGAGAUGGUGUUUACUUCAGCUAUCUACUGCAGUAAUGAUGAGCAUUAUCGUAAGGUGGGGUACUUCACCAUGGUGGUGGACCUUAAUCACUUAUUGUCGCACGGAAUGUAAGGCUACUUUUGAGAAUUGCUUUUAAGAAAGGUUUUUUUAGUUGUUGGGAACACAAAAAAAAUAAAUAGAUAAAUAAAUAAACAUGAAAGUAGGUUUGAUUGUCAAUUAUUCGUAGUAAAAUGUGUUUGAGAGUUGAUUUAGAUAAUAUAUUUUAAUUGUUUUUUAAUGUUUUCAAUUUAUGAGAUUGUUUAUUGAGAAAGAUUGAAAAUGAAGUAGUAUAAAUAAAAGUUAUUUUUAAGAAAUAUUAGAAACCCAUAAGACAUCGAGAACAUUCCAAAUUUCUAAACAAACUUUUUGUUUUAGAAAACAUCAAACAAUUGUUUUUUUAAAACUGUUUUCAAAAACCAUUUUUCAAGAACUAUUUUCAAAAACAUUUUAAAACAAAUCCUAACCAUCCAUAUCCUUCUUAAUCUGUAUUCCAUAUUGGACUAUGGUCUAUUAAGCAUUAUGGAGAAACAUGCUGCAAUAUCUUAUGAAUUUUUUUCCCAUUAUUUUUAGUGGAAUCAUUAACAAAUUAAGCUACUUUUAUCGGCAUGUGUCACUGCAUUGAUCAUUCUUAUAUUACGAGUUUGUUUGAUAGUGUUUUUAAAAAAUACUUCUAGUAUAAAAAGUAUUUUUGAAGAAACAUUAGACAUUUGAUAAAAUUUAGAAAAUAUUUUUUAAAAGUUGAAAAAUCACGUUUAAUGCUUAUAAGAGUUUGUUUGAUAGUAAUUUAGGAAACACUUUUAAUAUUUCAAAUAUUUGAAAAAAUUUAUCAUUCAAGUGUUAGAAAUACUAGAAACGCUUUUUAAAAUCAUUCUCAAACAUACUUUAAGAAACACUUGAUAUGUGAUUCUCCUAAAAACACUUUUUUAAAAAAAAAUCUUUUACUAAAAACAUUUCGAAUAGAAUAUUGCCAAACACACUCUUACACGAAGGAUGGAAGAGAGCUAUUCCAUAUAGAAUUAACAACAAUUAACAUAAUUAUGACCUAGUACAAGUAAAAUCAUUUUGGUCUAUAGAGUAUAACAGGUGAUUUGAACCAAAGAAAUAACUUCAAUGAGAGCAAUCAAAAGAUCCAUGCACUAUUGGACCAUAUGUGUAUCAUGUUGUCGUAUUGCCAAGGGUCCAGACAACUGAACAAUGUGGUGCAGUAGUCCUUAUGUCUGCCUAUAAUUUGCAUUCCCAUUAGUCCUGGUUUCUGCAGCCUCCUGUUUUACCUUCUGCAGUAACUAAGCUUUCACCAUGAAGCCAUGAAGCUGCAUAUUGGGAUUAUCCUUCCUUAUUCAAUGAGUGAUCCAUAAAGAUUGGAUUAUGACCACAUACAGAUAUCAGUGCAUGCAUGCCUGAUGAAGGACCAUAUCCACUCCUGCAAUUAUUAUCUUUUUCGCAGGUGACUCUAUGGGAGAAGCCAUAGAUGAAGGACCACAUCCACUCUUCAAAUGUCAACCACAGUAGGGAAAAAAAAAAAAAAAAAAGAUUUAAAGUCAAUGUAAAUUAUUUUUAUAUGUUACUUUAAACAUAUUUUACUUAAUUAAAUUUUUGAUAUAAAGAUUAAAUAAUUUAAAAUAUAUAAAUUUCUAGUAAAUUUUAAUUAUAUUUGAUUUUCUUUGGUGUUUUCUAUGGUACAACCAAAUAUGAUAAAGUCAUUUUCUUGAGUAUUUUUUUUUUCUUUUUAUAGUGCUUUCCAGAACCAAAUAUAAACUAUAAGAAUCAUGAAAAAUAUUACUAAAAUGAGGUUAAAUGGAAUAAUAUGACUUCAAGGAGAGAUGAGGGUUGCAAAUAAUUUACCAAUUCGCCUCUAUUCAGGCCUAAUGCUGGCUGGGGGUAGCACAAAUUUUAUAUUUUUUUAUUUUUUUUUUAUGCCACGUCUAAUCGUAGAUCGCAUAGUUUUUCCUAUUUGAUGUUAUUAUUUGAUUUCAUAUUUUUUUUAUUCGUAUAUGUUUUCUUUUGUUUGGUGAUUGUUUGUUGAUUAUUCGUCAUGGUUGGAGAAAUAGAUGAUUCCUUUCAAUUUAUUAAUAUGAGAUUGAAUGGAAAAAAUUAUUUGUAUUGGAGUGAUGUGAUGACAAAUUUUCUAAAGAGCAAAAAGAUGAGUUAUAUUAUUGGCACUUCAUAUAAAUAUAAAAAUAAAGAGGAUGAAAAAUAUGCGAAAUUGUUAGACACUUGAGAAAUAAAUAAUUCAAAAAUUAUUAUAUGGUAUCGGAGUUUUGUUUGAUGGGAGGUCAUCUGUUAUAGUCUCAUCACAUAUUUAUGUACAGUUGUUUGCUCAUUGGUUUGUCCCUCCACAUGCAGGUAUGGGGUCGUACUUGAGGGAGAGUGUUAAAAAGCAUAAUAUACAUCGUGGACUCAAAGCCUAAAAGUUUAACAAGCGUAUUGAGAAAUGAACACUCUCCAACAUUUCAUCUAAUAGUGAAUACAUUUCAUCUACAUUUGUUAUCAUCGAUAAAAAUGGAACAAAAUGGUAGGCAAUUCUCCUAAUUUAUGAGCCAUAUUGCCUUUUUCAUCUACAUUUGGAGGCCCCUACAGCCCUCCAAAUGUUUUUCUUUACACACAAGGAAAAAGCCAUAUUCACUCCUCAAAUCUCCCGUAGUGAGAAAAAGAAUCUGUGAAAAAACAACACUAAAAUGAGGUUACAUGGCAGUGUUAAAUACCAAAGAUUUCAUCUAUUCAUAAUAGUCUAUUCCAUAUGUUAAUAGGGGACUGAAAAUCAGGCGACAGAUAUCAAAGAAACAGCUGUAAAGGUAAAAGAUGCUACAUGGAGGUCUUAUCCAUCUAUAUUUGUUAUCAUGGACAAAAUAGAAAAAAAAAACAAAAAAAAUGGUGGCCAAUUCGCCUAAUUUGUGAGCCAUAUUGGACUUACCUUGCAAAUCCAGUGAGAUCCUAUCAAGUACGGCUUGUAACCACACACACACAUACCCUAGCUACUUCCUCCAAUGACUUCCCCACAAAGUUUGCCUCAUAAUCACACACAUAUAUCAAUGUUGUGAGCCAAGUUCUAAAGUUGGGACAGUGACUCUUGCAAAUAUGCAAUAUACCAAAGUGGUAAUAACCAAAAAUCUGGUGCACUUGUCCUCAUAUAUGAGCUGUAUUAUUGAUGCUUUGCUACCGUCCAAUGGACAUGUGCCGAUGAAUAUGCUGCAUUUCCAUCCACAAGUGUCAGUCUCAAAUGUCAAUAUUGCUAGCUCAUCGAGCGAGAAGCCCCAAAAUAGGAGGGCAAAACUUGAGAUUAUAGCUCUUCCCGUAAUGUUAAGCUACCAACUUUGAGUUCACUAGCAUGUAAUAUGAUUAAAUAGUUUCUAUUUUAACAUUGGGUGAAGGAAUCGCUCCUAUUCUCUCAUAAUCACAGCUCCAAAUUGUGAUAACAUGCUCUUCAAGUGGAAUCUUGUAAAACUUGUGGUUCUCUUGUGACAUCUCCUGACCUCAUGAUAUGGACUCGAGCUAGUAGCAAUCAUUAACGUGCCUUGCAACUGUUGAGUCUAAACAGAGAAAUAAGAUUUGUUGGAGAAGGAAGGAAUGAUGAGAGCAAAUGCUUGACAAUAAGAAGCCAGGGGUGAGAAUCUGAGGAAAGUAGUUUAGACAUAAAUGUCAAGUUGCUUAUAGAAGCUGUUCCAAGCCUAAAUUUGAGUAACUCCCCAUGAGCAUUCUAGAUCUAAAAUAGUUUAGGAUUAACAACAUUUUAUUAAUUCAAAGCCAUGAAUAAUCCUUGCUCCUUGAAUUGUUAGGAUCAGGGACUUAGCCAUCUAAUCUGAAGACUAAUUGGUUGUCAGAUGAGAUAGAUGGGAAAGUCCUUGAUCCUAAUAGAUUGUAUCAGAGCUAGGUGACGAUCCUAAUAAACUGACCAUUUGCUCUCUUUAUCUGUUAGGUUCUCUCAUGAAGCAAAGUGAUCUAAAGCUCCAAGACAAUGUAAUCAAUAAUGGACACAUCAGACUUUGUUUUCUUCAGCUUCUUGGAGUUUCCUAUUCCCACUGGCAUUGAACUCAUUAGAGAAUCUGGCCUUGGUGGUGAGCUUCACGUGGUUUGCAUAUUUUUCAUUGUUACUGAACUUUGUAUUUAGACAGUAAAUAAUAAUGCCUUUGAAAAUGUCGACUUUCAUUUCAAUCCAUGAAAUGCUCCCCACCGCACAUACCUAUGAAUUCAGCCUGAUCAUGAAGCUUGCUUUCAAUGUGGGGCUAUUGAUUUUUAUCAUAUUUAUAUAGAUAUUUAAUGUUAAAAUUUCUAAAUUUAAUUUAAUUCCAAUGUUAAAUAGGAACUAUUUAAUUAUAUUACAUGUUAGUGAACUCAAAGUUGGUAGCUUAACAUUACAGUAAGAGCUAUAAUCUCAAGUUUUGUGCUUCUAUUUGGAGGCUUCUCACUCACUGAGUUAGCAAUAUUGAGAUUUGAGACGGACCCCUGUGGUUGGAAAUGUGGCAUAUUCAUCAGCACAUGUACUGAAAAUGUAGCAGAACCUCCAUAUAACCCAUAGAUGAAGAGAAAGGCACAAGGUUUUACCUUUCAUGUUUUCUUUCUGAUUAGAGUUUUGUGUUAUUUGGAAGAGCAGAACCUCCAUACAACAUUGGUAUAUGUGUGUGGCUAUGAUGAGGCAAACUUUGUGGGGAGGUCAUUAGAUGAAGUAGAGCAUGUGUGUGUGGUCAUAAGCUAAUUUUUAUGGCAUACUCUUCAGAUGAGGUAGGGCAGGCCAAAUAAAGAAGAUCAGACACCAAGGACAACUGCAUAUAUUGGCUCCUUUAAAUCAUUUGGUCUGUUAUGAGACUGGUAGAUAGCCACACCCUUUGUGGCCACAAGGUCACUGUUUGAAUAUUGAAAACGUGGUAUUUAGUAUGUGUGUGUGGUUACAAGCCAAACUUUGGACAAACUCACUGGAUAAGGUAAGGAAGAAAGCACCAUGGCCAGCAAUCUAUUAUUUCCUCCAAACUGCUCAAACCAUGCACCUACAAAUCUUAGCUGCAGUGCAUAAAUUUCAGCUAAUUUGUCACACCCUGCUCAAAGGCCUAAGUCCAUGACAUAAUGAUGUGGAAUAUAGAGAUAGAAGAAACAUGACACACAACAUUGGUAUAUCCGUACAUGUGUGUGGUUAUGAUGAGGCAAACCUUGUGGGGAGGUCAUUAGAUGAAGUAGAGCAUGUGUGUGUGAUCAUAACCUAAUUUUUAUGGCACACUCAUCAGAUGAGGUAGGGCAGGCCAAAUAUAGAAUAUCAGACACCAAGGACAACUGCAUAUAUUGGUUCCUUCAAAUCGUUUUGUCUGUUAUGAGACUGGUAGAUACCCACACCCUUUGUGGUCACAAGGUCACUAUUCGAAUAUUGAAAACGUGGUAUUUGGUAUGUGUGUGUGGUUACAAGCCAAACUUUGGACGAACUCACUGGAUAAGGUAAGGAAGAAAGCACCAGGGCCAGCAAUCUAUUAUUUCCUCCAAACUGCUCAAACCAUGCACCUACAAAUCUUAGCUGCAGUGUGUUAAUUUCAGCUAAUUUGUCACACCCUGCUCAAACGCCCAAGUCCAUGACAUAAUGCUGUGGAAUAUAGAGACACAAGAAAGGGAAAAAGUAGCUAUAUUAUUAUGAAUAGCAUAGGAUUCUUUUAUAUGACGAUGUUGGAGAGUGCUGAUUUGCAGUAGCUGCAACAUUUGGGAACACAGGCGAAUUCCAAAACCAUUCUUCUAAGCGUAAAGAUCCUGUAAGAUUUGGCCCUCAUCUCACCAAAGGUUAUGAUAUCUUUAGUAUGUAACACUCACCAUGUAACCUCAUCUUAGUGCUCUUUCUCACCCACAGAUUUUUUUUUUCCUCACUAUGUGGUUGAGACUUGGAAGAUUGAACAUGGCUUUUUCCUUGUCUGUAAAGGCAUUUGCAGACAGCAGGGACCAUUUCAGACAAAGACCCUUCAGAUAGUCACUGUCCAAACAUUGAUAACAUGGUUGGCUAUAAGUGAAUCUUUAUGGGUGGCUUGAUUAAAGAUAACCAAAAUUUUGAAUCAUAACCAAAUAUUUGCAGACAGGACCAUUUCCUUCAAACUUCAUAGACCAUGUUCCUAUGAAUCUUAGCUGCAAUGUAUUAAUGCCCUGCUAUGGAAUAGUGGCACAAGGAUAUUGAUAAAUAUUUUGCUCUCUAGUGAGUACGAUACAAGAAAAGGGGAUGAGUAACUACGAUAUUAUGUAUAGUAUUCACUGUAUUGAAGUGCAACAAUACAACUCUCAAGUCUGGAGACACCCAAAUGAUGACUCGUAGAACAAACCCAUGAAGUGUAAUGUAGAAAAAGUUUGGCUUACCAUCACUAAAUACCAAUUGGUUUUCAAUGAGAUGUUCAAAGCACGAUCCAACACUACCAUUUGUAGUUAGAAUAACUGAACUUAUUUGCAUUUGGUAACUAACACUUUUAUGUAACCUCAUUGGAGUGGUAUUUUUCACAGUUCCUAUGACUGUUUGUUCCUAGAAAGCUUAAAGGAAAAAAAUUACGAGGGAAAGAAAAUAGAGGAAAAGUAGAAGGAAAAAAGUCAAAGAAAAUAAAAAAUAGAUUUAAAGUUAAUAAAUUAUUUUUAUAUAUUACUUCAAACUUUUUUCACUUAUUUAACUUUUAUAUGUAAAAAUUAAAUAAUUUAAAAAUCUAUAAAUUUCUAAAUAAUUUAAAUUAUAUUUGAUUUUCUUUUACAUUUUUUACAAUAAAAUCAAAUAUGGGAAAAUUAUUUUCUUUAAUAUUUUUUUUCUUUUUUAAAUACUUUUUGAAAAUUAAACAUAAGUUACAAGUCAUCAACAGAUUCUUUUUUCGACACUAUGUGAUUGACAUCUGAAGAGUGGAUAUGGUUUUUCAUUUAUGGCUUCUCCUAUAGAAUCACAUGUUAAAGGUGCCUAGUUAACAAAAAAAUAAAAAAAUAAAAAAGCGACCUUUCAAGGAAAAUCAUUGUCCCACCACUGAAAUUUGUAUGUGGUCAUAAGCCAUUCUUUCUGGAUCAUUCAUUGAACAAGGCAAGAUAACCCCAAUGCAAAGGUUAAAAAUCAGGAAGAUUAUAUUGAAACUUGGUAUUACAUAUGUCAAUAUGUUUCAGAUUAUAAGCCAAUCUUAUAGUGCUUUCAUUAGAGAUUGUGGUCACACAAAGGGACUACUACACUAGAGUGUUCAACUAUCUAUGUUAGGAGUAAAUCCCUAUUUAUGAUAACAAUAACAUAUCAUAAACAGAAAAUAGACAAAGUUUUUCUAAGAUUUAUGGUGGUUCACUUUCAAUGUAAAAACCAUGUUAAUUCACUUUAUUGUUGCAGAUUUUGCAAUAUAUAUGUAUAUAUAUAUAUAUAUAAUAUAAUAUAAUAUCAAUCCUUACAAUAAUAGUCUCUCCUCUAGUUUUUCCCUCACAUAGAAAAUCUAUUACCCUAAUAAUAUCUUAUAUAAUAAAAAAAUUAGGGUAAACUAAUAUAAGUGUAGAAUACCUAAAAUACCUUUUAAAAUUCCCCAUCAUCUCUCACAUGGUCAUGGGAAAAAAGUGAGUAGUAUAAUUAAGUUUGACACGCCUAAAACAAUUAUGCUUGGUGAUUCACACACUACUGAUCAAGGUUUAAAAGUGGUGAGGUUGAACUGAAAUUCACCUUUUAAAGGGAAUUAACUUUAAAAGAUGUGGUUUAUACUCUUUCCAUGACAAAGAAUCUUAUGUCGAGCUUUCUUCUUAAUAAGGCCAGGUUUAAGCGAACAAUGGAAUUUGACUAAUAUGUAAUCUCCAAGAAGGGGAUUUUUGUGGGCAAAGGUUAUGGUUGUGAUGGAAUAUUUAAAUUGAAUGAUGAAAAUAAAGCAUCUUCAAAUUUUAUUAUAAGCUCUCUUCUUUAAACUUUUGUCAUACUCAUUUAUGUCAUAAAUAGCAAGUAUGUAGGAAUAGUGAGUUUGUAGUGAUUAAUUCUUAAAGAACUUUAAAAAAUAUGAAACAUGCGCUAUGAUUAAAAUGAGAAAAAGGGCCUCAUAAAAGUAUUGGGAGAAAUACCAAAUUAUUAGAAUUGAUACAUAUUUAUAUAAAUUUGAAGGGAUUCUAACUCGAGAAGGAAAUAGAUAUUUCAUAACGUUCAUUAAUGAUUAUUCAAAAUAUACUUAUAUAUAUUAGCUUGUUGAAAAAUAAAAGUAAUGCUUUUGAGAAAUUUAAAUAUUUCUAUAUUAAUAAAAGUUUGACAACUUGAAAAAUCGAUGUAGUAGAAUUUCUUUGGUUUGUCUCAUUCUCUAAUUUUGUAAGAAUAAGAGAAUCAAAGAUCAUGAAGGACAUUUUAAUAUGCCAUUGAUGAAUCCAUAUAGAUUGUGUCCUUGAUUGUCAAUAACACUUGGGAUUUCUAGAUCAAAUAAUUACUUUGAACUAACUUGUUAGGCAAAGUUUGAUUCAACGAGCUAGAGAAUGGAGAUGCAAAAUUCAUCAUUUAUUGAUUCGAGGUUAAUAAACUCAAUCUUAACAUAUUUUUGUUUUUUGAAAGCUAUUAUGACUUUGAUACCAUGAUGAGACUUUUAGGGGGUGUUUGGUACACGGAAAUAGGGAGUGGGAAUAGACAUCUCAUUCAUUUUCUCCCUUAUUCCUAUGUUUGGAUAAAUAUUAAGAAGGUAGAAAUAGAAUAAAAAACUAUUUAGACAGAAAUCAAAUCCAACUUAUAAGUUAGAUUUGAAUUCAUAAAAAAUAGGUGGUAUUCUGAUUCAUUAAACCCAUUUGAUAAUAUAAAAUAACAUAAAUUUACUAUUUUACCAUUUUAUUUCAUUUUUCAACCCGAUACUUAUCUUCUUUACAAAGCUAAACUAAAUCAAUCAAACCUUCCACGACAUUUAGAAAAAAAAUUUCAAUUUCUAAUUUCUAAAGUUUUGAAUGAAAUUUGAAUUCUUUUAUUUCCUCUUUUGGAAAUAGGAAAAACAUUUGAUAACUUUGAGAAUUUAAAUAUUAUAAUAAAUAUAUAUAUAUAUAUAUUUGGUAAAAUAUAAUUUUAUAACUACUUAAGCAUGACAAAUUAUUCAAAUUUUUAAUAAAAAUGAUAAUUGAAUAUUUGUACAUUAGGAUUAUAUGAUUUUUUAUGAUUAAUUUUUUAUUUAUUGAGUAUAUAUAUAUUUUUUAGUCUUAUUAUUUAAUAACAAAAAAAAACUCUCAAAAUUAAUUUUUUUUUAAAAAAAAAAUAUUUUAAAUUAUAUGGAAGGAUAUUAUUGUAAAUUUAUUUCUUUUUCAUUUCUAUUCCUAUUAUUAUCAAACAUUGGAAUGGAAACAAAGUCAUUUCAAUCUUGCAUUCCUAAGUUUAUCCAAAUACUAUAAAUAGAAUCAUCAAAUUCAUUUCUAUCCACUAAGAGUAGGCCUUACAUCACCCAUAUCGAGGCCUAUGACAAAGUUUUACUUUUGGAGCCAUCAUUUUUCAAGAAGUGACAUUGUCCCAACCCUAACACAUACUAAGGAUGAAAAUAUGAGUAAUUAUAAAUAUAUCAGUACUUCGAUUUUACGGAUAUAUAAGAGAUAUAUUGACAAAUAUUUUGAUAUUAAAUAUUUGUGGACCUAAAUUGAUUAAAAUUUAUAAAAAUAUAAAUAUAUAUAAUAUAAUUUAUCAUAUUUGAUAAUAAUAUUGUAUGUGUCAAUAAAAAAUAUAAAUUUGUUAAGUGUACAUUGAUUAUUAAAUUACAUCAAAUAUUAUUCGAUAAUAAUAUUAUAAUAUUUGAUUAUAAUAUGUUUAGUCUUAAAAUAUAUUUAAUAUUAAAAUUACGAUAUAUUUAAUUUAAUUGUAUUAAAUGAUAUAAAAUAAAUUAUGAUAAAUGUAUAAUUUUUUAAUAUUUAAUUAAUAUAUUAAUUAUAUUAAAAAUAUUAUGAAGAAAAUUAUCAUGAUAAUUUUUAUGUUUUUGCUAAUAAAUUAAAUGAAAUAUUUUCAUUUAAUUAUAAAAUAAUUAUAAUUAAUUUGUUCUUUAAAAUAUUAUUUUAAUAUUUUGUUUAUAUGAUAAUGUUUAUUAUAUAUAUAUAUAUAUAUAUAUAUAUUUGGUGCGUAAUAUACAAAUAGGGGCAAAUUGGCUCUAGUGGUGUAUGUGGCCAUUGGCUGAACCUUUUGUUGGGGUUCCAACCCGAAGAAAAAGAGCCGUCGUUUCGAAGCCGACCGAUACACAUCCUUGACACAUACAACAUUAAUUAUAAAUAUUACGCACGAAUUUAUAUAGGUUCUAGCUAGUAAAAAUGGAGAUAGCAUUUACCUAACAUGAUAAAAUCUAGAUGUUUCUUUUCCAUCAAAAAGUUUUCACCUAACAUAAUAAAAUCACUACAAACAAUACUUGAUGCAUUUCAUGAUCAAACGUGGGGAAUUUUGUAAGCAUGCGUUAUUGGACCACAUUUGGCUCAUGUUAUAAUAGUGCCAAGUGUCUUGAGUCUGGACACCUACCACUCUGGGCCACUAGUGUCCUUCUGUGUGACCUGUAGUGUCUUUUACCUACAGUCUCCAAUGGACCACAUUAGUCUCAUUUUACCAUAUCCAAUCUUCAAAUUUCAAGCAGAGUGGAAAAAAUAAUAUUCUAUAGAUGACUUGCUCAAUCUGACUUCAAGGAGAGAUGAGGGCAAACACAUACAGAUCUCUUUGCUUUGCAUAAUAGUUCACCUAUUUGCCUCUAUUCCCAAACGCAAACAAGCUCAAUUAUUCUAACUACAAAUGGUAAUAUUGGAUCGGGAUUCGAUUAUCUCAUCUGAAAAUCAAUUGGUGUCUAAUGAGGGUAAGUUAAAUCUUUUAUAACAUUCUAUAUCACAUGACCUCACAGGUCUAUUAUAAGAGUUAUCAUUUGGUUACCCAUCCCAGGCUUAACAGUUGCAUUGUUGCACCCCAAAUGCAGUGAUUACUACGUUAUACAUAAUAGCAUAACUACACAUUUCUUUUUCAUGAAUCUUACUCAUUAAAUUCUGCAAAAUAUUUACCAAUAUCCUUGUGCCACUAUGUUCCACAGCAGUGCAUUAACUUAAUUCUGAACAUACAGCCAAGGGAGCUACAAUGGCUUGUUGCCUACUUUGGUAAUUAACUAAAGAUUUCCUUAUGAUGAAGAAUUGCUGGCCAUGGUGCCUUAUUCCUUACCUUAUCCAGUGAGAUCUUAUCAAGUUCAGCUUGUAACCACACACACAUACCCCUGCACCUUUUCCAUAUUUGAAUAGCGAAUAGUGACUUUUUUGGCCAUAAAGGGUGUAGGUAUCUACCAGUCUCAUGACAGACAAAACCAUUUAAAGGAGCCAAUAUCUCCAGUUGUCCUUGGUGUCUGAUCUUCUAUGUUUAGCCUUCUCCUAUCUCAUCUGAAGAGUGUGACAUAAAAAUUAGCUUAUGAACCCAGACAUAUGCUCUACUUCAUCCAAUGACUUCUACACAAAUCUCUAAGGAAAAAGAAGCCAUGAUCAAAGGUAAAAUCUUGUGCACUUCUCAUCUAUGAGUUACAUUUUAGUACAUGUGCUGACGAAUAUGCAACAUUUCCAACCACAAGGGUAGGUCUCAAAUCUCAAUAUUGCUAACUCAGUGAGUGUGAAGCCUCCAAAUAGGAGCAUAAACUUGAGAUUAUAGCUCUUACUAUAAUGUUAAGCUACCAACUUUAAGUUCACUAACGUUUGAUAUGAUUAAAUGGUUGCUAUUUUUCAUUCAAAAAAGGAGUAACAGUGUAAGUGAUACAUUUCUUUUUCCUGUUCUUUUCUAGCAACCAAACAUAGCAUUUGAGAAAAUGAGGCCAAAUUCAUAUACUGCACAGGAGAACAGAAAUCUUAUUACAACUCAAACUAGAAAACAACAUAUAUCUUACAAUACAACUCAAACUAGAAAACAAGCCACAUGAAAAAUGUUUGCAUUCCCUCUGAGUCCUUUAUUUUGUAACUUAUAAUUAUUUCUAGAUUUAGAGGGUGUUUGGUAAAUCAACUUAAUAACUUAAUAUGACUUAACGAUUUAAUUUAAAUUAUUUAAGUAAAUUAAGCAUGUUUGAUAAAAUGAUUUAAUAUCGCAACUUAAAGUAAAAAACAACUUCAAGUAUUAGGUCAAAAUAAAUUAACUUAUUCUUAAUCUCAAGUCUCUUUUGCCUCAUUUACUCAUGUUUAAUGAGAAUAUAUUUCACAAUUAUAAUUUUACAUUCAGAAUUCAUUUUUUAUAGUAAAUAUUUUUGUAAUUAUUUUAUAUAUUUACAAUACUUCAAAUAUGAAUAUUUAAUAGAUAAAUUUAUUAUUUAAGAUUAUUGAAAGUAUAAAUAUUAACUAAAAUUAACGAGUGUAAAUAUAUUUAUUUGAUAAUUUACAAUAACUUUUAAGUUAACUUUACCAAAAUAACCUUAAUAUUUAAAAUAAAAAAUAAUCAUAAGUUCAAGUCAAUAAUUUAAGAACAAUUUAACUUAAAGUCAACUUAAAUUAUUAAGUAAUAAAUAUUAAAUUUUACCAAAGAUCCUCUUAGUAUGUAACAAUGAAGUUUAAGGUAUUGAUAGUGUCUUGGGCACUUACGUGUACAUAGGGUAAGACCCUUUUGCAAGGACCUUUUAAUAAAAUGUCUUCUUGCUGUCAAAAAGGAAAUUCGACGAUGUGGAAAAAUAAAGUAACAAAGUUCCAAAUAGAUUUUUAUUUCUCAUUUUAGAUAUUUUCUCAAGAAUCAAGCAGAAAAUAGGCAUAACUAAAUAAAUAAAUAAUUUUUUUUUUAAAUAUUAGAAACAAAAUCAUAUAUUUAACUAGUUUGUAAAAAAAAGGUGACUUUCUUUGUAUAUGUCUUUUUCAAGAUUGAAACAGGAUAGACUUGUUAUAUAAAGUUAUUGAGAAUAAAAUAGGAGUACACUCCACAUGUUAAAUUAAUAUAAAAAAUGGAAAUCCUCUCGAUCAUCCUUUUAAAACCCCAAUUCAAAAAACUUCACAAAGAAAAAGAAAGCUUUUAAGCUUAUGAAGAGGAAGAAGGGAGAAGAAAACAAAGGAAAAAGUAGUAAUAGGUUUGUUAUUGUGUUGUGCUUUCCAUUAAAGGGAUCUAUAUAUAGAGAAUGUAUAAGGCUAACAAUCUGUACACAUGGCCUUGUAGAAUAGAGGGACCAAAAACUAAAUAUAGCUAAAAUUAAAACUUUAUUGAUGUGUAUCACUCUAUUUAUCCACACCCCACCACCCCCCCACCCCUCUUCUUGCAAACUCAGAGGCCUAGUAAGGACUGUUAGUUUGUUUCAAAAAUGAAGAAAUCGCUGAAUAGGAACAGCUUUGGUGAGAUAAACAGCAAGCUGAUCGAUAGAGGGAGUAUAAGGCACAACAAGAGUUUUUGGAACCAUCUUUUCUUAGACAAAAUGAAAGUCAAUCUCGACAUGCUUUCUUCGGUCAAGAAAGACUGGAUUGGCAGUCAUAUAGACAAUGUUGAGUUCUCAAAAAAAAGAACCAAUCCAACUCAGUUCAACAAUACCAUUUGCAACAGUCCUGUAUUCAAACUCAACAAUGGAAUGAAAUACAAUUUUUUUGCUUUGUAAAAGACCAUGAGAUGAGAUUAGAGCCCAUAAACACACAGUAAUUGUUGAUACUUUGACGAUCAUGAAGGAUGGAAGUAUAGUUAAGAUUAGUAAAACAUGUUAAAUUGUAAUCUAGAGUGACUUGGAUUGAAAGGUCAUGAUGAGAAGUCCCUUGCAGAUAGCGUAAAAUGUGUUUUAUAGCUUGCCAAUGAACAUCAGAAGGAGAAUGCAUAAAUUGGCAGACUUUGUUGUGUUGGGGCUUGUUAAUGUGCAGUACUGAAGAGCUUCAACUACACUUUUUUUGUACUGCCAUCUUCAAGAAGAGUCCCAUCAUGGAUGGAUAGAACAGAACCAGAAGCCAUAGGGGAAUGAAAAGACUUGGAAUUAGUCAUGGUGGUGCAGGCCAAAAGAUCGGUGAUGUACUUGUGCUAAGUGAGAUGGAGACUAGAAACAAAAUGAUGCACCUCUAUGCCUAAGAAAUAGUGAAGAGGUCUUAGAUCUUUAAUUGCAAAAUGAUGACCAAGUGAAAAGAUGAGUUGGGAAAUAGAGUCCAAAUGAGUACCCAUGACAAUGAUAUCAUCGACAUAGAUGAGUCCUACUAGAUGAACAUGGAAGAAUUUACAAGAGAACCAGUGAAGCCCCAUUGAAAAAGAGCUUGGCUAAGUUAAUUUGAUGAACCAAGCAUGGGGAGAUUGUUUAAGACUCUAGAGUGUUUUCUCCAAUUAACACACAUGAUUGGGGAAUUCGGGAUGAAUAAAACUUGAUGGCCACACCAUAAAAACUUCUUCAGUAAGGUCGUCAUGUAGAAACACAUUUUAUACAUCUAACUGUCGGAUAAGCUAAUUGUGAGAGAUGGCAAGGGAAAGAACCACUUGAAUGGUAAUAGGCUUGACUAUCGGGUUGAAGGUUUUAAAAAAAUCCAAGCCAAUUGUUUAUUGAUUUAACUACCAAACAUGCUUUUUAUCAAUCGAUACUACCAUUAGCUUUCAGUUUAAGCUUGUAUACCUACUUGCAGCCAAUAAAUUUAACAUCAGCAGAGGAAGGAACCAAGUGCCAAGUCCUGUUUUUAAUCAAAGCAUCAUAUUCAGCUUGCAUUGCUUGUUGCCAUGAAGCAUGUUUAAUGGCCUGGUUGUAAAUAGAUGGUCUAACCUAAGGUCCUGCAAGAUUGCUUAAAAAUAGCUUACGCUUGUAAAUUCCAUACCUAGAUCAUGUCACCAUGAGGUGAUCCUUGUGAGUUGGUAGCCUGGUUUUCUCUAGAGGGAUAUGCAAGUCCUUUACCAAGGAAGUGGACAAGGUAAAGGGUUGUGGUGGUGAAGGAAGAUUGAGUGAAGAGGUGGCUAUAGUAGAUUAUUCAGGAGGUGGUACAAAUGGAGAGAUGGAAGAUGAGGAAGGAAAUGAAGAUGAAGAAGAAGAGGAUGGGGAACUAGGUGUAAUGUUUAAGAUGGAAGGAGAAAUAUGAGUGGUGUUGGGAAUUGUCCCAAAUUCCUAAUUAGUAAAUAUUCCUUUUUGUGAAGAAUAUUGUAUAGAAUAUUUCUAGGUUGAUAUAUUAUUGUAAUAUUAGACUUCCUUAUAGAAUAAGGAAGGUUGUUGGAAAUAUCUCUAUAAAUAUUCUAGGUCAUGAGGGGAAAAAGUUAUGAGAUGGAGAUGGGCCUAUAGAGACUAUACGAGGUGGAUAGAGAUGUGAGGAAGAACGGGAGGUACCUGGUGGAGCGAGAGGGCUCGUAGUAAGGUAUGGAUACAAGGAGUGGGGAAACAUGGGAUGUUUCGGGAACCCAAUAGUUGUAUCUGGUUUUAUCCUCUGUAAUAUUCUCUAUUGUAUAGUGAAAUUAUUCUCUCUCAUCCGUGGACGUAGGCAUGGUUGGCCGAACCACGUUAAAACCUCGUGUACCGUAUGUGUGAUUGUUUUAUCUUUGUGUUCUUGAACUAACAUUGUUGGCAUCAAAGCUUUCGCUGGCACUACAAGUGGUAAAGGAAGGAAAAAAAUGGGAACAAUGAUUGGAACAGAUGAACAAGCUAUACAAGGAGAAGAAGAUUGAAUAUUAGAGAAGGGAAGAGCUUAAGAAAAGGGGAAAAAAAAAAGAAAGGAGAAGAAAACAAAGGAAGAAGUUGUAAUAUGUCUAUUAUUGUGUUGUGCUCUCCACAACAGAGAACUAUAUAGGGUGAAUGUAUAAGAGGCUACCAACCUGUAAAUGUGGCCCUAUAGAAUAGAGGGACCAAAAACUGAAUAUAGCUAAAAUUAGAACUUUACUUAUGUGUAUCACUCUGCUUAUCAAAAAAGAAUUUCAUUAUGUAAACCAAACAUGGCCUAGGGUUGUAACUGAAGACAAAAAAUUGAACACCCCAUUUGAAUUGAAUAAUGUUUUAUUCAUUUCAUAAUGUUUUAUUCAUUUCAUAUGCCUAUUUAGAUCAUGGGGAAAAAAAAAAAAAAAAACGUGUACCUGAAUUUUAAGAGGAGCAACUGCAAAUCCAACUAGUCUGAGUUCUACUCCUUUAAGAAAAACUCACUGGGGUUUCAAACGGCUUGUAGUCCCAAUUAUGACAUUUCAAACACUCCAAGCUGGUAGCAAGAAGUAAUUGUAUCAUCAAUAAAAACCACCAGAGUCCUGCCAUUGCAGAUCAAGCUGUGUUCACAAAUCUUCUAUCUAUGCCAAAUAAAUGCAAUGACCUCAGAAAUAGAGACUCCUAGCAAUUGAUUGGAUGAUCAUAUUGUUCUCAAUAGUUUAGUUUACCUUAUUUAGGAUAGCUUCUUUGUUAUAUUAAACAUGAAAGAACUUCUUAUAUAAGCUAAAAUAGAACUUCUACAAAAAGCAAUAUUUUCUUGACUUCCAUAUUAAGUUUUUUUUGAAGCUAUAAGCUUUUUUUUUAUAACAAAAUUAGUCAAACAUGGUCUUAUAUAUAUUUGGCAUAUACAACACUAGCGAAGAUGCAAAAUUCUCAUUUUCCAAAACCAAGGUAAAUAAGUAGUAUCAAAAACUGAAAAAAAGCUCUUGUUGAGGGUGCUUGGUACAAGACGUGCAAUAACUUAAAGUCUGUUUAACAAUGCUUUUAGAAAAUAACAUAAAAAACUGUAAAAAAAAAAAAAAAAAAAAAAAAGCUCUUGUUGAGCAUGCUAGGCAUGAGACUUGUGAUAACUUAAAGUCUAAUUAGCAAUGCUUUUAGAAAAUACUUCUAAUAUAAAAAGCAUUUUUGAAAAAACAAAAAUAGGCAUUAAACAAAAUUUAGAAAAUACUUAUAAAAAUUUGAAAAAUGCUUAUAGUGCUUCCUAAAGAAGUACUUGAUAUGUGAUUCUCCCAAAAAUACUUCUAGGGAAAAAAAAUUCACUAAAAAUAUUUAAAUAAAAAUAUUAAUAAACACACCUUUAAUCAAAAAAGACAUUGAGAGAGAGAGAGAAGAUGCCUUCAAUUUAUAGAGGGUGGCUUACCUUUGCAGAGUAGGAUGAGACAUAAGAUUGGAUUUUCUUCAAGUUGUGAUCCAAAAUUCCUUAGCAAACCUGAUAUCUAGACGUGAUAUAGUACUUCCCUUAUGUCUUUUCUGUAGAAGUUUCAUUGGUGUAAGAGGAAUUGGAAUGAGGUACAAAUUUUAUUAUUUUGAUUCGUACUUGAAUUUCAUUCAAAAAUUUCAAGUACAAUACUGAAUCCUUUACAAAAUCUAGGACAUUACAUGUAAUUAUAUUAUAAUUACUCAACCUUUACGUAUGCAUAUAUAGUUGAUUUAUUACAUUGAAAUUGAGCAGGGAAUCAUAGCAUGCAUCCUGUAAGUGGUAGUAACAAAUGAAGAUUAAUCGGUAUCAUAAUAAUAACAAUAGACACAGAGUUCUUUGUCGGAUACUUCUCUCAAGCCUAGCUGAAGAAUCUUGAGGUUGGUGAUUAGAAGAGCAAGAACCAUGUUAGGUGUUCUUCUCUUCAAAGAUGGAUCCUAUGUGCUCACCUGAGAAACCACACUAUGGUUCUAAGAAAAAAAAAAAAAAAAACUCUAAGUACAAAGCAAUGUGCAUGUAGAAAUUUAUAUGAUAAUAACUAAGCAAAAUUUGCAACAACCUACCAUUUUCAUUAACUUUAAAAAAUUUGGAUCUUUUUCCGGCUCCGCUCAUGCCAUUGAAGUUUCAACAGGUAAGAAGUGACACUAAACAAGAAAAUGAUAAUGUAAAUAUGAUGUCUUUCUUUAAAACAAAUAAGCGCCAUCACAAUCAAAGUUAAUUUUUCAUUAGGUUUCACUUGAAAAUUUUAAAUAUUUUGACGAGUAAUGUUAGGUUUGAAAAAGAAUGAAAACCUUGAGUAAUUGAUUGAUUGAUUAACAUUGGGUUAAAUGCUCAAAAAAAAAAAAAAAUGCUUUUGCUACAUACCUCCACGUGAAGGUGCCAUUUGGUUGAUGUUUUCCCCUUCGAUGGAGCCUGUUUGCUAUGAAAACUUAAGGCCAAGAAGAAAACCACAUGAAUUGAGCAAGUAAAAAAACUCAAUUAAGGGAAAAUAAUAUUAUAAUAAUAAACAAAUGCAUAUCGGUAUGAAUAGAAUUUCAAGAAAAUUUAAAUGAUUAAUAUAUUGUAAUAGAAAUGGUGAAAAAGCUCACAAUAUGAUUGAGUUAAACAUGAGGAAAAAAAAUCUAAGGUACCAAAGAGUACCUACCAAACUCCCAAUCCUCACUAUUUAAAUUGUAUAUAAAAAAAUACUCCCAAUCUCCACUAGUUGAAGUGUAUGAAAAAAAUAUCUUUGGAUAAAGGUGCAAAUAAUAAAACUAAUAAGAGUAGGUAUGCAAAAGAACAAAAGUAAAAAUUAAUGAAAUCAACAUACAAGAGAACAAGUACAAAGUAAUUGAAUCUAAAUGUACACAUGGUACCAUGACAUGAUUGUGGUUGCACUUUUCGAUGGUUACCUAUUUGAUACUCUAAUCUAAUUUUAAACAUAAGUAGGAUUUAUCAUUCAAUAAUAUAAGGUGGUAUUUGUUUUUUUAGUUUUUUACUUAAAGCAAUUUGUUUUCAGAAUUUAGGUUGUUUAUUUUUCUACUUUUUCAUGAUUUAUUACAAACUUUUUACUAAAUAGAAAAAGUUAAAAUAUGUAGCUUUUUCUAAAUAGAAAAAAUAACAUAUUGAUUUUUCUUUACUUUUUAAUACUUAAUAGAAAUAAAAUACUACAAAAACAAACAAUCUAAUAUUUAACACUAUUAAGUAUUAAGGUUUUAUUUAGAAUUAAGUAAAAAAAACAAACACCACCCUAAGUGUAAUUUAAUAUUCUAAACAUCUUUAUUCCAAAAUAACAUAACCAUCGUAUCAAUACCCCAAUAGGCAAAGAAGUCAUCUUAUCUUUGAAAAAGAUUAAAAAUUCAAAGAAAUAGGCUUAAGAACAAAAAAAAAAUAGGUAAAAAAAAAAAAUUAAAAGUUCUUUUAAAAAAAAAAAAAAAGAUAGAAUAAAAAAAAAAAAAAAAAAAAAAUAACCCUCAUGGGUUUGAAAAGAAGGCCCUACAAACUCAAAUAACCAAACAAAGGGAUUUUCCUUAAACUAAGAACCAAGGGAUCAAUCUUUGAAAGCUCUAUCUAUAUCUAAUUAUCAACCAAACCAAUCAAGCACUUUUAAAUUUGGUUUUAAAAGAUAAAAGAGAGAGAAUAAACUUCAUAAGAAGUACAUGAUACAGGUACAUGAAUAAAAUUCUACAAUAUUCUUAGAGAAAAUUAAUUAAAAAUAACAAUAUUACGUACCAAUUUCAAUUUGCAAAAUACUUAAAAAUCUUGGUACACAAGUUUUAAACUUUAUAAACAAAAAAAAAAAAAAUUGUAGAUAAAAAAACUUAUAGAUAUUAUUUUAGUAGUUGUAGGAUCUGAAAAAAUUAAAUUCAAAUAAAUUUAAAAAUGAUAAGUUAAAUAAGAAAUUCAUUUAAAGUUUUCUAUAAUUUUAAUAAUUCUUAACUCCAAAGGUUUCCAAAUAGGAAAAAAAAAAUCUAUAAUUUCCCUAAAAGACUUAGGGUUUUGUUUGCAAAGAAAUUAAUAAAGCAAAUUGAAGGAAAUGGGUAAUUUAUUUCUGAAUUAUCUAUACAAAAUUAUCAAAGGAGUAAACAUUAUGUAUUUUUUUAGUAGUAAAGAAAAAUUCUUAAAAAGAAUUGGAGUGUUAAAGGAGAGGGAUAAGGGGUUAAUAAUUGUUGCUCAAUUAGCAUAAGCUCAGUAUCCUCUCAAGGUUGAAAGACAAUACAAUGAAGUAAUUUGGUGAAGUCAUGAAAACUUAAUAGUCUUAUGUCAUGACUCAUCAUAGGUCUUGUCCAAUGUAUAACCGUACACUCUAGUGUGUUUCAUAAGCCCAUGAAUUGGCUAAGAAUGAGUUAUCCACUUGUAAGGAACUUGUGACUUGGAUCUUCCAUACAACUCCUAAUGCACCCAAAUCACAUAUAAUAUAAGAGAUGUAAGGUAAAUGGCUUACGAAGUAUAAUGUAGGGAAAACUAGUAUAACGUGAGUAAUUAUACUGGUUUAAGAUAAUAUAUCGAGUUGUUUUCUCUCUAAUUAUGUAUUUGUAGCAUUCUCUCAAACACUUUACAAAUAUCUGGAUUUAUCUUGUUGGAUUUUCUUUUAUGUUUUUCUCAUUAAAAAUCCACGAGAUGAAAUCAAUCUCACAUGCUACCAUAAAUGACAUUAGAAUGAAACUAGAUCUAGUCAAUAUUAAAUCAAACUUGAAUGAGAGAAUUACUUUAAGAUUGUACAUUGCCAUCAUUAGGUGAUCAUUAGGUGAUCAUCAAUGUAGUCUUACCACAAUCUUCUUUUGUUUUUUUUUUUUUCAUUUUUUAAAAUGGUUAUAAAUAGUGUGUAGGAGCUAGUAGGAUUCUUUGUUUUUCAAUCUUUUAUCAAUUGUCCAUUUUACUUUAUUGAAUGAGUUUCAUGCACAUAAGAUGGAUGACAUGUGGCAUGUGGCACAAUAUACUAGGUCUUAUAUGUAUAAUUGGCUUUCCAAGAUAAGAUUGCCAAAAUGACGAUGUUGAGCCAUCUAAUUACAUGGAUGACCAAGAUAUUUUUUGUUACUUAAAAUUUUAAAUAUGACUACAAAUUAGGUCUCAUUUUAAUGCAUUGUAUUGAAUGUGGUUAAUAAAUAAUACAAAUAGAUAUUAUUUUUAUAUUUGUUAAAAAAAUUACAUAUUCUUUUUUUAUCUUGGCUAGGUUUCAUAUAGCAUUUUUAUAAGGACAUUGAGUCUUGUUUUUGUUUGUUGGCAAUUUUUUUCGUAUUCAUCCUGGCUUAGAAAACUCUUUAGAUAGUAACUUACUCUCCACUAAAGAUUCAAAGUUAUUGUUAACUCAACCAAAAAGUCACAAGUAAGUCUAAAAAGAUUUGUUCAGUGGCAAGUUAGGUGAUUGAUGGGUUAAAGUGGAUCAAUACUUUUUCUAUGAAAUAAAAAUGUUUGAAUUGAUGUUUUGGAAAAAUAGGGGAUGCUCGAGUAGUGGAGCCAAUUAUCAUAACCUGCUCCAAAUAACCCUCAUUUGAGCUUAUAUAAGAGAGUAGGAAGCUUCUAGAACCUCUUAGAGUCAUCUACACUAGUAGAGUAUGGAAGGUUCUAGAGAAGUCUAGAGAUGUCCACACAUCUCUACACUAAGUUGGAAGACAAUGAAAAAGUGUGGAGCUAUCUAGAGAGUUCAAGACAAGUUUUGUAAAUACUUAUAAAUAGCCUUUGUAUAGAGUCUUCUAGAGGAUUUUUUAUUUGUAAAAAACCUUCCAAGGUUCCAAAGAGUUCCUAAGGUGUCUAUAAAUAGGUGAGAGCCUUAUUUGGCUAAGAUAACAAACAAGUGAGAGGUUCCAAGCAUUGUAAACAUUCUUGUGCAAUACCAAUUUCCUUUCAUUCUUAAAGUGUUGCCUUCAUUAUGCCUUUUAGAUUCCAAGUCAUGUGCAUACUUAGUCUAACUAUCUAAGUAGGUGGGAAAAACUGACUUAACAAUGUCAAGCAUCUUGAGUUGUUUAAGUGCCACACAUGAGCUUAGGAAAAGCUUGAAUCCGUGACAUAAAGCUCAAGCAUUAGAACCACUCAAGCACUUAUCGACCACUCAUGCACCCGAGAUGCUCAAGUUGUCAUUAAGUGCACUCAAACAGUCAUCCAAAAUCUACUAGAAUAUGACAGAAUUCGUUUUUGAAAAAAAUUCUUGAAUAUUCUUUUUGGUAAAUUCUAGAUACCGAUCCUCUAAGCCUAUAAGCCUAUAUAAACCCUCUCUUAACCCAUUUAGGGUUGGAUGCUUUGAGAUUAGAAUAAACCAACUUGCCCCAUCAUUCCCAAUCUCUCAAGAAAGAAUUCAUAGGAUUGAAUUCUGAGUUGUUGGAAGGACAUGCAUCCCUUCAGAGACUCAAAGGAAUCCACUUGAGUAUUAGAGGUAUUGCGUUGUGGUCGUGGAUCAAGGUAUAAGGUUUGAGAGUAAGUCUUUAGGGUAAAGCGGUCAAGUAAAACUCUAUACUUUGAUUUCAAAUAUUGGAUUAUAAAUUAGAGGUUUUAGGCCCUGUGGUUUUUUUAUCUCCACAGUUAGUGUGGAGUUUUUCCACGUAAAAAUUCAUGUGUCCCUUGCUUUAUUUUUUAUUACUUUGAUAUUUGAUUGUUUUGAUCAUCCCUAAAUUUUGGGUUAAUUUAUUCAUCACUUAUAUUGUAAUAUUUGAAAACACCCAUGAACCUUCCCCCUUACCCAGGGUGUUACCUUACUAGACAAACGGUUUUUCAAUUUUAUCUCAUAAAAUUUUGGUUUUUUUUUUUUUUUUGCUCAAAUUAAAGUAAAAAAAUCAUAAUCUACAAAAAAAUAUACAAUAAAUUGUCAAAAUAAAUAUAUAGACCUGCUAAAUUCAAAAGAUUAGGCAUACAUUUGCCUUAUCUUUCUUUCUGUUAAAGCCAUAAUACAUCAUGACCAAUUAAUGAUAGAAGCAAAUCAAAUCAAUCUAAGUAAAAAAGAAAGCCUCCCUGCUAGUAACUUAAUUUCCUAGCAAAAACAACUAAUAUGUAGAUUCAUUUUCAAUGCUCACCAACAUAGGAAUCCCAAAAACAUGAAAAUUGACCAAGUAUCAAUAAUAAUGGCAAAUGGUAGUGUAAAAUAUAAUUUUCAAAUUACACGUUAAAUAAACCCAAACAGAUUUAGUUGUCAUUGGAAUUGUUUGGAAAUAAAAUUCUCUUUUAAGAGGAAUUUAUUGGGAACUUCUUUGGAGUUCAUGGGUAAGAGUUGAGAAGAUUUAGUUUGAAUAGUGUGUGCAAUAGUCUGUUGAUGAAUAUAGGUGAAAACUCUUUGGUUAUUGUUAUGAUGAGCCAAAAACUUGAAACUCGACCUACGAUCCUAUAGUCAAAGGUUUGACCUUAAGGAUUAUACUCUAUCCAAAUUGCCAGUCAACUAAAUAACCUUAAUUAUUUUCUUGGAAUAAAUUGAAAUCUAAUUUCAAAUAAAUUUUUGAAUUGGGAUAAUACUGUAGGAAUCUUCAAACCAACCAUUACAUACUCAUGAGGAAAAUAAAUCUACUAAUCAUCAAACCACUCAAGGUAAUUAUCCAAAUCUCUACUAUAAUUCUUAUGAUAGAAUAUUCCCAAAGGUCCUUUACAAAAUAACAAAAUAUCAAUUAGGUUGCAAUAAUCCAUAUAACUAUGAUUAAUAUAUAUUAAAAAAACUAACAUAAACUAAAAGCAAUUAUUUAAGUUAGUCAUUCACUUCAUGGGACUUUUUGGAACUUUUCCUAAUCUUCUUGUGAUUCAUGAUAAACUAUAUUUGUAUUUAAAAUAUUUAAAGAAAAAUAAUUAAGCAUUUUCACAUUGCUCAAUAAGGUGUCUUGCAACCAAAGGAGUUAAAAAUUCUAAAUCAAUACAACACAAUUGUAUGUCAAAAUAUCAUACUCCAUUUACAUUACAUUACAUUAAAUGAAACUUCAAUUAUACAAAAUUAAAUCAAUCUAGAUGAAACUUGUCUUAUUUUAAACAUACAAUUGAUGACAUUCAAUCAAUUGACAUAAAUCCUUCUUUUAGAUGCAAACAUGAUGCAAAUAAAUGUUUACACGUAAUCAAGCAAUGCAAUGUCAUUCUUGGGCUUUCACCAAAGGAUAUGCAUAUGUACCCAAAUAUACUUUUCAUUCGGAGCUUCCUAAGAUAAAUCUUUGUAUAUUUCACAUUAGGUAUCUCACUUCCUUCUUAAUUUACCCUUUCUAUAUCUUUUCAUUUCUCAUUUUCUUUUGUUUUCAUUUUUACCCUCUUUGAUACCUUUUUAGUUUUGUUUCCAUUUCAUACAAUCAUAGAUACAAAAUGAAUGCAAUAUAUUAUCAUUGUCCAAACCCAACUCAAAUAAUAAUAUCUAAAAUAUAAAAUAAUUAUUUUAAACACAGAAUAAUACUCAAAAAUUUUGACAAAUAACUUUCAUUAUUUUCAACGCUAAUAUAUCACCAAUAAAUUUCAAUUUUAUCUUCCUAACACAAUCCAAACAGUUCUAAUACUUCACACAAAUAUUUCUUUUUUAUUCACAUGAAUUGUGUCAUUAACAAAUUCAACAAAUAAUUACCGCAUUUUUCUCCAUUGAAAAUUCAUGUAAUCUUAAAAAUAAAAUAAAGUAAUAAUCAUUUGUACAAAAUCACUUGCAAAAUAUCACCAUAAUAAGUAGGUAUGACUUUCAAAGAUAAUAAAUAAUAACAAUAAAAUUUUCUACUAAAAUAUGUUAAAUAAAAAUUUUAGGAACAAACCACCCUACCAAAAAUCGAGAAUCCAACCAUUAACUUUAAAAUUGGACAUCAAGACAAUGUUCCUCAUGUAAAGUAAAAUAUCCUCCUAGAAUUUUGACAUGUAUCAAACGACACUUCGAAGACCUGCAGUACCAAACUCUCCUCAUUUUUCCUUUUUCUUUUUCCCUUAAUUUUCGUCAUCCUUCUAGCACCUCUCUGCUGCUGUUGUGAUUUCUUCUUUCUCUAUUCUUUGAUGUCAAUGUUUUUCCACUGAUAGUGAUAGUCUGUUGUCUUGUGAAAGGUUUUUUUAGUUCAUAAAUGUAUUUUUGUAGGGGAAAUGUAUUAGCUGCUCAAUUUCUAUGUUCUAAAACACACUUUUGUUGAAAGUGGAGAACCCAAAAUAUUAACCCCCGACUUUUACUUCUUAUUUGUUUUCUUGUUUGAUGACUAACUGCAGAACUUGUACUAUUAAUUGGCAUGAGGCAUAUUUGAGCUACCUAUAAGCUUGAAAGUAGAAGAAGAAGAGAUAGAGAGAGAGAGAGAGAAGCACUGAGAGAGAAAACACAAAAAAACAGAGAGAGAGAGAGAGAGAGAGAUUUCAGUCAAAAAAAUUUAUUACGUACAAUACUGAACCCCAUAAAAAAAUGUAGGACAACGGACACAUAGUUCUUUGCUGGAUACUUCUCUCUAGCCUAGCCAUGGAAGAAUCUUGAGGUUGGUGAAUAGAAAAGCUUGAACCCAUGUCAGGAGUUCUUCUCUUCAAAGAUGGAUCUUUUGUGCUCACCUGAGAAACCACACCAUGGUUCAGGCCAAAACUAUGUACAAUGCAAUGUGUGUGCAGAAAUGUCCAUAACAAUAAUUAUGCAAAAUUUGCAACAACCUACCAUUUUCAUUAACUCUAAAAAUUCUGGAUUUUUUUCCUACUCUGCUCAUACCAUUGCAGUUUUAACUAGUAAGAAGUGAACCUAAAAAAUAAAAAUAAAAAAUGAUAAUGUAAAUAUGAUGAUUUUCUGUAGAAGAAACAAACCCCAUCAAAAUCAAAAUUAAUUUUCCAUUGGGUUUCACUUGAAAAUUUUAGUUGAUUUUAGGUUCACAAAGGAAACAAAAAAAAAAAAAAAAACCUUUGAGAACAUCACAUACCUAUGAGUGAAGGUGCCAUUUAGUUGAUGCUUUCCCCUGAAAGCCAAGAAGAAAACCACAUGUAUUGUGUAAAUAAAAACCUUAAUUAAGGGAAAAUGAUAUUAUAAUAGUAAACAAAUGCAUAUUGGGAUUAACAAACUUCCAAGAAAAUUUAAGUGAUUAAUAGAUUGUGAAAUGAUGAAAAAGCUCACAAUAUGAUUUAGUUAAACAUGAUGAAAAAAAACCCACGGUAUGAAAAAAUAAUUAAGAGCUCCCAAUCUCCACUAUUUAAAAUAUAUGAAAAAAAUUUAGUUAGAUAAAGGUACAAAUUUUUACUAAGGUAUGAAAAAAAAAAACUCUCAAUUUUUAAGGUUUGAAGUGUAUAAAACUAAAAUAAAAUCUAAACCAUGGAAUGAAAGUACAAACAAUGAAAUUGAGGUACAAAAAAUGAUAUCAAGUACAAAGAACAAAAUGAUACAAAUAAAUGGGAUAAAGUAUAAAUUAUACAAAUAAAUGAGAUGAGGUACAAAUUAAUGAGAUCUAAAAAAUAAUCUAAGUAUCGUAUCAAUGCCUAAUAGCCCAAAAGGUUUUUAUCUUUGGAAAAAGAUUAAAACUUUAUAGAAAUCAACUUUAUGUUAAAAAAAUAAAAAUAAAAUAAAAGAGUAAAAAUUCAAAAAAUAAAAAAUAAAAAUAAAACAAGCAAAAAUAAGAGAUAAUAAUAAUAAAAAUAAUAAUAAUAACAACAACAACAACAACAACAACAAUAAUAAUAAUAAUAAUAAUAAUAAUAAUAAUAAUAAUAAUAAUAAUAAUAAUAAUAAUAAUAAUAACCUCAUGGAUUUGGAAAGAAGCCCUAAAACCAUAAAUAACCACAAAAACAUAUUAAGCGAUAUACUUCAAGGCAUGACAAUCAAACAAAGGGACUUUCCUAAACUAAGAACCAAGGGAUCACUCUUUGAAAGCUCUAUUUAUAUCUAAUUAUCAAAAGUCUAAUCAAGCACUUAUAAAUUUAGUUUUGAAAGAGAGAGAGAGAGAGAGAGAGAGAGAGAGAGAGCAUAAGAAGUACAUGAGACACACAUCAAUAAAAUUCAACAAUAUUAUUAGACAAAACUAAGUAAUAUUACCAAGAAAAUUGCAAAAUACUUAAAAAUCUUGGUACACAAGUUUUUGAUAGUUUUAGAAUCUGAAAAAAGAAAAAAAUUCCUCAAAGAUUUAGGGUUUUUCUUGCAAAUAUAUUAAUAAAGUGAACUAAAGGAAUUUGGUAAUUUAUUUUUGAAUCAUCUAUCAUGUGCAUGCAACACAUAGUUAUCAAAGGAUUAACGAUGAUGUAUUGUUUUAAUAGUAAAGAAAAUUACUUAAAAAGAAUUGGAAUCUUAAUUAGGGCUUUUAUUUAAACACACACACAUUUUGAUCAUACUUUAAAAUGGAGGGAUAAGGGGUUACUGAUUGCCACUCAAAGCUUGCAUAGAUUGGCUAGUGAUUUUUCUAUACCAUCUCAUAAACCAAACAAACUCAUUAAAAACAUGAAAAAAAAAAAUCAUGUUUGAAAAUAAAUACUUAUGAAGGAUUAGAAGUGGGAUGAAUGAUAAUAUCAACAACAAUAAAUUACCUCAAUGACUAAAACCAAGAUAGAUCUCCUAUCUUAGUUGGAUCUCUUUCUGUGAAAUCAUAGAAUGAUAUAGAAACAAAGUAAAUGUUAUGAGAUUAAAAAAAACUUACAAAUAAUCAGAAAUAGAGGAGCAUCUAUUGAACAGAGAUGUAGAAUAGGAGGUGUGCGGGUUUGGGCAAGCAAAAGAAGAUGCUUGGUACUCUUAACAUGUUUGGAGAGAUAUUUUUCGCUACUUAUAAUGAAAUCCUAGUGUUAUAUCAUCAACUCUUUUUAAGUUAAUUUUCGAUCAAACCAAGAGAAGUCAUCAACUACAAUUGCAAACCUAUAAAGGAAAAAAAAAAGGAAAGAGAAAUAUAUAGCAAUAAAGGGGGUAUAUAUAUUCCACCUGCGUGCAUAACUACAAAAAUAUCAUUUAAUAAGUUUUGUAAAUGUAUAUAGUUUACUUGACAAUUUCAUGAUAUGCAUUUAUAUAUAAACAAAUGGAUCUACUUGAUGGUAAAGUAACUCAAGAUGACCUGAAAGAAAAAUUAGAAAAAGCAAAUCUACAAAGAAGAAAAGUAAUUUAUGUGGUUUAAUAGUGUGCUUAAUUCAUAACAACAACAAGAUCUAAUUGCUAAAGAUUUCAAAAGAUUACAAGAACAAUUACAAAGUACUCUUAGAAGCACUCUCUCUAGUUUCUUUUAGGGGAGUUUUUUAGAAACUCCUAAUUAAUUGAGAAAAAAAACUAGUUUAAAAUAACUCGAAAGCGUGAAGAAAACCAUCAAACCUAAAUUUAGCCAUGCAAUUUUAGAAGUAACUAAAUUGUCAUGACUUAAAAGAUCAAACCUAAAUUUAGCCAUGCAAUGUUAGGUCAAGUGGUUCAAAUAGAGGCACAAUAAAUAACCUCCACCUUGGAGAGAUUUCAAACUAACAAAACAAUCUUUGAGGAUUUUUGAGACUUACUCAAUUGCACUCAAUGUGGAUGAAGUACAAGCAAUGGUUAAUCUAAAAACAGUUUUUGUCAACAAAUCAACAGUAGCAAUCAUUUGUAGUAAUAUGUUGACUUUCAUCUAGAAUCUCUUUUGACAAAAUGAAAUUGAACAUCCAUGUUUUUUCGUUUGGGAGUUGUGGAUUUGAUUCUUCUCUAAAUGUAUGGAUGUUUACUUAUCACAAUAAAUCAUAUUGCAAUCCUGAAUUAAUCAAUCCCAAAACCUCAACCAUUUGCUUAUCACAAUAUACAUUUUCCAUAUCUUUCUUUUUGUUAAUUCAAAGCCAUAGAAAAAGAACUUCACAAGCAAAUCAACAACGCACUCCCUCUGUUUUAUCUUUUAAGGGGGCUAGACCCAGUGACAGAAGCUAAUCAACUCGAUCAAAGUAAAAUGUAUGCCUCCCUUUGUGCAAAACUGCAUGAUCUGGUCAACUCUAUUGAUUCAGUACAUCCAGCUAGUUGAACGGGCAGAGCUAGCAGAAAAAAAAAAAAAAAAAAAAAGCAGCAGUAGCGGGAAGAGGGCGAGUGAGAGAGGCAACGAGGACAAAGGUACUUGAAGAAGCAGCAAUGCCAUCAGCAACAACAUCUAGCAGUGACACUCGGUAUUCCAAGUGCCCACAGCCUUUAUGCAAAACCAACAAAUAUGUAGCUUCAUCUGCAAUAUUUACCAAACCAUUAGCAAUGCCAUUAGCAAUGCCAUCAGCAACAACACAUAGUAUUGACACUCAAUAUUCCAUAGUGCCCACAGCCUUCUGGGCAAAACCAACAAAUAUAUAGCUUCAUCUGCAAUGUUGACCAAACCAUUAGCAUUUACUAAUCAGUUUUGAGAAUCCUUGACGCCCAAUAAAGAUGAACUGCAUAUACAUGUUGAAAUCAUUUUCAUCAUCAUCAAAAUCAAUGUUCUACAAGAUUGUUCCAUGGGGUAUAGCAUAAGAUGCAGUUACUUCACAUGCAGAUACAUAUCCCAUGCUUUUUUGUGGAAGCAAAUGGGCAAUGCUUCUAUUUUGUGUUGUAGAUAACUCUGGACAUACCAACAUUAAUUUCCAUUUUUCACUUCUAUCUGUGGGUUGUUCUUUUGAGGGUGACCUUUGUCACAGAGAAAUGUGUUGAAAGAAAUGGAAAGAGAACAAUAAUAAUUAUGUUGCAUUGCUUUUCAGGUGAUCUUUGCCACAGAAAAUCCCAUUAAAAGAAAAAAGAAACCAACCCAAGUCACAAGGAUGUUUUUGCACGUUCAGAUCCAAAUAUGCAUUCGGGCAUAUUCUAGCAUCAAAAAGAUGUUUCAUUAUGCCACAAAACAACCAAUGCAAGUAUUAACGUGCAAUAAUAUAGGUUUAUACUCCAGUAAAGUGUGAAAACAUCAGAAUAGAGUUUUCUAUGAGAACCUGAUUAUAAUCCCCAUCAUCACUGAAUUUCCUCUUCUGCCUCUUCUUCUUUUCCACCUUCAUCUUCUUUCUUUUCCUUUCCACCUUUCCCAUCUUGGCCAUAGACAUUUGGAGAUCAAUCACUGACAUAGAAAUCACAAGGAAAUGGGCUUAACCAAAGAGAACCAAACCCAGAAAAAAUGAAAAUUGAUCAAGUACCAAUAAUAAGAGUAAAUUGUACCAUAAAAUAUUAAGCUCACAACCAACCAGCAGACUAUUUUUUACCUCAAUUUUCUUUCCAAGCUUCAAAGAACUCUAACUUCUGCUUGUCUUUUGUACAAACAAAUUACUUAGUUCGAUUUAAUAUCAUUGAAAUUGUCCUGCAGGGACAACCUUGAGCACAAACAAAGAACCAGUUGAUUCUAUCAUAAGUAAAAAUUUCAUAUAAUCUCAUCCUUAGGAGAGCAGUUUCAAAACUGGUAUACAUGAUGCCAAAACGAAAAAAGAUUAGUCUAAAGGAAGGGAAUAACUAAACAACUGCAAUAUAAAAGUCCAUCUCAAAGAAGUAAAUUUACAAUUGAAAUUCUACUAUUGACUAAAUAAGUUAAAUUCUUGUAACCACUGGUAUACAUGCAUAACUUAAUUAAUAAUAUGUGAAAUGUGACUUAGAGACUCAGAUACCAUCUACAUCAUUUAUCAAUUAUCUACACUGGUAAUAACACAAGAAAACCAACAAAAACAAAUCAAAUGGCCCUAGUUUAAAAAGAAACCACCAAUUCUCCACUCUAUGGGAGCAAAUAAACAUACAUGAGGCAAUAACAUAAGAGUUAAAUAAACAAAAGAAAAUGUUUAGAACCACAAAGUUAAAAACUUAAAUGCAGAAGCAAAGAAGUUAAAAUCAAGAUAUUCAAUUCUCGUCGUACCUAACUUUGGAUUCCAUCACACUUUUCGUUUAUCAUGUGGUGUGCCCUUCAUACCUAGAAUCUCAGUGGGUAAAGAACACUUUUUAAACUCAAUAUAUAAAUUCCCAUCAAGAAUUAUUAUAAGUUGUUCAGCUUUCAAACCUUGGAGCAGUUCUAAAGGAAAAUUAUAAGAAGUGAGCCUUAGAAUCUGUUUUGGAGGAUCCCAUUUUAAUGUUUCAGCUUGGCAAAAAGGUAAGGUCUGUGUUGUGGCUUUCCGUCAUCAAACAUUUAUAAAAAAAGGUAAGGUCACCAUAUUGUAGUCAAACAGAACUGGGAAACUAAACAUCUCACAGCAAUAGAAGCAGCAAGUCAGAGUGCAUUAAAACAAAGUGGCAUAACAGAAACUCAACAACAAACUAUCUAAGAUCUGAGUAAAAAAUUGAACAUGAUAAAUAGCAACAUGGCAUAAUACUAAAUUUUUUUUUCAACUCAUGGAUACAAAAUGCAAUUAGUUGCAACCAUGCAUGUAUGAGUGGAGAAACAAAAAUAGAAGGAUGAAUUUCUGGUUAAGAGAAUAAAAUGAAAAAAAAAAAAAAGGUAUUGCAGUGGAAGUAUGCAUCCAUACAGAAAUAUACGUACAUACUUGCUGGUAACCUUGAGGCUUGGCUCAAUCAGCAAGGGUUUGGGUGGGAUCCGGAAGAUUUUGGGUUUGAGUUCCAAUAGAAAUAUGCAUACAUACAUACAUACAUACAUGUACACACACAUGCGUGUGUAUGACUCACUAUUCAUAAAAGGAAAAUAAAAAAAAUAAAAAAAUAAAAGCAUAAUGCCAUUCGCAAGCUUACAGUUGAGUUUGUUGGUUUUAGAAGUGAAAUAUAUUAUGCAAAGUAAUUAUCCCCUCACUUUUGAGUUGGGAACAAAUUUCUUGGUGUGCUGUGCUUCAAGAAAAUUUCAGAAUUGUUCUCACUUCUGACCAGAGGUAACAAAUCAGUUAUUGAUUGCUUAUGCACUCAUCCUCUAGAGGAAAUGAUACAACAAAGAGAAAGUGAAAUACUGACCUUUGUUUGAUCAAAAAAUGGGAGGAAAAAAAGAAGAGAAAUGAAAAUAUAGAAGCCAUUCAAUUACCAGACGUCUUGAGUAUUUAGGUAAAAGAUUUGAACCAUUUCCAACCAAUCACAAGCCUUAACCCCAAUUGAAGUAAGGAAUUUGAUAUCUUUUCUAUUAAUGCCUCAUAAAUGGAAUGGAAACCGAAAACAUAAUUUGAACAAUGAAAUACUUACUCUUUGGGACUGUGUCUUCAAGAUAAUAAGCGGAGAAUUUCCAAUAAUUUUGCAUCUUGCAUUUCGAAUUACUGGGGUCUUUUUUCCUCAAGCACACAGUAGACAUAAGGUAAUUCAAUAUCUUGAAACAACAAAGAGAAUUCUUUUACAUGCAUAAUAGAAGAAUUGUUAUAUCUCAUAUCGAAUAGGGGAAAAAGUUAUUGACCCUAUGUAUAUAUGAAUUUCUCUUAACUAUUUAGACAUUUUAAAGUCAUGAGGGCCCCUUGUACUUAGAGAGAACAAUACUUACAUGAGGAGGAAAUAAUCAAACUUAAGGGGUUUCUAGGCAAAGAGUUUGAAAUCAAAGACUUGGGCAAUCUCAAAUACUUUCUCGUUAUGGAAGUUGCUCAAUCAACAAAGGUUAUUUUUGUUUCUCAACGAAAGUAUGUCCUAGACUUACUAAAGGAAACAAGGAUGCUCAAGUGCAAGCCUACGGAUACUCUAAUGGAUUCAACAACUAAACUAAGAGCUAAAGAAGACAAUUGAUUACUACUCAAAAAGUACUCUUUUAUAGCUUGAAACUAACUGUUUUAAACACCUUUGAGUAGUAGUUAAUACAUUUUAACUCAAUUGGCACAUUAAGGAACCUGGCAAGGGUUACUAAUCAGUUUUUGGCAAGUUUUAGUGUUUUUGGUAGCUUUUUGAUCAUUGAAACAAGCCAAGAAGAUGGAGAAUUUUGUGAAAUCAAUAGCAAUGCAAGUUAAAGCUCAAAUACAUGAAGAAUCCAAGCUUUGGAGCACUUCAUAGCCCUUUGCCAAGCCAAUCAAAACUCAUCCCUGUGGACGAUCCUAGAACCACUAUACUAUGUUAGCUAUGCUACCCUAGUGUGAGGUGAUUUAGGUUUUAUAAAUUUUUUUGAUAACAGCCGCCUGAACCAGAAUCAAAUGGCAUGAAUGCAACAAGGGACAAAUCAAAUGGCGUCGUUGCCGGGAACGAAUCAACAAUGCAUCGGUAGUCAAAGGCAAAUACCAAAAACUAGUGGGAAAACUUGUUGGAAAAUAAAAUCUUCUUAUUAUCUCUUUGAAAAAUUAGUACAAAUAUAUAUAUACAACUUUCAAACUUGUACAAUAAAUGGAAAUAGAAUAAGACAAUUGACCUACUCCUAAAAUUCUUCCUACAAAUCCUCUAAAUUACAAUUUCCCUAAUUUACAUAAUCAACUAAUUUAAGUAUGCAUAAAAUCAAGAAUAAAUCAAAUAAACACCAUGAUAUCAAGAAUAAUUAUUUAGAUUCUAACACUCCCCCUCAAGCUAGUUCAAAGACAUCUUUCAUUCCCAGUUUGCUAACCAUAGAGUUGAAGGUAGGAUUCUGAACUCCCUUUGUGAAGACAUCAAAUAGUUGUAGUUUAGAUGCAAUAAACGAAGUGCAAAUUAGUCCACUAUCAAUAUUUUCUUUAAUGAAAUGUCUAUCAUUUUUUUUAUAGACUAAAAUGUCUAUCAAUGUCAACAUGUUUAGUCCUGUCAUAUUGUAACAGAUUGUGAGCAAUGCUGAUUGCAACCUUAUUAUCACAAUACAAUCUCAUAGAGAUCUUAAGAUUAACUUGUAGUUCCCUUAAUAAACCCUUUAGCCACAUGAGUUCACAAAUGCCAAGGACAUGACUCAAAACUCUACUUCAGCACUAAACCAAGCAACUAUAUUCUAUUUUUUGCUUCUCCAAGCAACCAAGUUACUGCCCGUAAAAGUACAAUACCUGAAAUAGAUUUCUUAUCAGUAAUAGAACCUACCCAAUCUGCAUUUGUGCAAGCCUUAACUCUAAGGUGAUUGUUCUUUAAGAACAAUAAACCAUCUCCUAGAGUUGACUUUAGGUACCUCAAGAUUCUUAAGACUACAUCCAUAUGGCAUUCAAGGGGGAGUGCAUAAAUUGACUUACCAUGGUGACAACAUAUGCUAUAUCUGGUCUCGUGUGGGAAAAAUAAAUUAAUCUCCCAACAAGUCUUUGAUAUCCAUCUCCCUUUGUCAACUAGUAUUCCUUCAAUGAUAGUGCCUAAUUGAUGGUUUUGAUCAAUAGGUGUGUCUGCAAGUUUGCAUCCUAGCAUCCCGAUUUCAUUUAGCAAAUCAAGGAUAUACUUCCUUUGAAUAACAUAAAUUUCCAUUUUUUUUUAUCUUGUCACCUCAAUGCCAAGAAAAUAUCUUAGAUUUCAAAUUAUUUUACCAACUUUCCUAUAAGAUUCUGCAUCUCUUCUAUAUCAUCUCCAAUGACAAUUAUGUUAUCUACAUAAAUAAUAAAUAUAGUAAUCUUCUUUUCAAGUGAUUGCUUGAUGAAAAGGACAUGAUCUCUUUGGCUUUGGUGAUAGUAAAAUUUGAGUGGAGACUUAGCAAAUCUCUCAAACCAAGACCGAGGAGACUGCUUCAAAUCAUAUAAUGAUUUUUUUCAAUCCACAAAACUUUCCACUAUUGAAUUUUCCUUCAAAACCAGGAGACAAAUCCAUAAAUACUUCUUCUUCCAAGUUUUCAUGCAAAAGGGCAUUUUUUUACAUUAAAUUGUUGAAGAGGUCAAUCAAGUUUGUUGCUAAAGAUAAAAGAACUCUAAUGGAAUUCAUAUUUGUCACAGACGCAAAAGUUUCUUAAUAGUCAAUUCCAUAGGUUUAUGUGUAUCCCUUUGCUACUAACCUAGCUUUAUACUUCUCAAUUGAACCAUUAGAUUUGUAUUUAAUAGUGAACACCCACUUGCAUCCCACUUAUUUUUUUCUUUGGGAAAAUCAACAAUAUCUCAUGUUCCAUUUUUAUACAAUGCUUUCAUCUCCUUAUUUACAGCCUCCUUCCACCUAGGAUCACUUAGAGCCUUUUAUACAAUAUUAGGAAUUGAAUUCCAGGAUAAAUGAGUGGUAAAGGUCUUAUAUUGGUGGCAAAGUCUAUGGUAGGAUAGAAAGGAUGUUUAGUACAACUUCUAACACCUUUGCGAAUAGUUAUAGGAAUAUCAAAAUUAGUGUCAAAACCAUGAUUAAGAAUAGAGGGAUUAAAAGGAUUAAAUGUACCUAAUUCUAGAGUUGAUGAUUGGUCAUGUGUAAGAGAGAUUGGGUCUUGCUCUUGCAUCAGUAGCCUUAGCCUCCUAGAGUAAACCAUAAAGUUUAAAUCAACAUUUUUUGCUAUUGUUGGUUUUAUGAUGCCAGUUUAUGUUCCUGUUAUUGGUUGUAUAUUAUUUACUUCAUCUACCUCACCAUGUGAGAAAAUAAAGGCUAAUCUUAAAAGAGAAAAACACCUAAGAAGGGGGGUGAAUUAGGUUUUUUAAAAAUUCUUUUUAAACACAACAAAUUUAAGCACCAAAGAAGCAAAUAUAAAUAGAUAAGGUUAGAGAAAUCAAACUCAGAUUUUAUAGUGGUUCGGCACUUCCUUGCCUAUGUCCACUCUCCUCAAGCUCCUAACUGAGUGAGGGUUCCACCAACUUGAAGCUUCAACCAAGCUUCUAAUCACCUUUAGACUUGGAUUCCGACUCCAAUGGGCUUUUACACAAUCUCUUCAAGUUUCAACUCACUUGAAGGCUUUAACAUUCAAUUAACAAGAAUAAAUCUCUCAACCUAGCUCAACAAUAGCUCAAAUACAACUUAAGGUUAGGAUGAAUCACAAAGGUGCACUAAAGAGUAUCCACAUGGAGGUUUAAUGCACCAAGAAAAGAAUGAGAGCUUUUAAGGCAAGAACAAAGUGGGUAGACAAAUAAAUGCAAGUGUUCUCUUACUCAUAAAUGUAACUUUAAAGAAUAAAUUGAGUUUUUCAAAUAUGUAUGAAAUGAUAUGUAAAUCCUAAGUGCACUCAUGCAUUCACCUUACAUAUGUUUCCUAUGAUUAAAGGUCUUCCAAAGGUCUUGAUCUUGCAUCCAUUUGGUUCUUUGAUGAAUUUCCAAAUUAACACCUGAAAUUCUUUAUAAUUCAAACCAAUUAGUAACUUAACCAUGGUUUGUUAUCAUUAAAACUUUAUUAGGAGAACCCUUGUGCUAACACUAUGUUUAGUAGCAUUUUAUGCUAUUAUUGGUUUUAUGAUGUUAGUUUCUUUCCCUUUUAUUGGUUUUAUGUUGUCUACCUCUUCUACAUCACCAUGUUUAGUAGCAUGACUCCAAAUGGGUAAAGAAAGCAACCAAGAUUGAUCUUGCAAUAUUUUCUCCCCCUAAAGAUCAGAUUUCUGGUAAUACGACUAGUUUUUAAAAAAACUUACAUCCAUGGAGACAAAUUUCCUUUGUGCAGGUGGAUGAUAGCACUUGUACCCUUUUUAUGUGGGGGAAUAACCCAAAAAAUAUACUUAGUGGCUUUAGGAUCAAGUUUGGAAUUUUUUUUUUUUUUUGGAUAUAGACAAAUAUAGUACAACCAAAGACUUUGGGUGGAAGGAAGCCAAGGCA